CUUUCUGUUAUCUUGAGCAAGUUUUUCCGAUCGUCCCCUGGAUCCAGACCAUCUGGGAUAGAGACUAGCCCUAUCCCACUCUGAGCCUCAGCCUCAUGUGGGAGUGCAGCCAGCAGUUUAGCAUGUAUGAAGUCAGAGUUAACAAAGGUGACCUUGAUCCCGUGAUCAGAAAUCCGGUGUGCAAGCCUCAUAAGAGGAGCAACAUAUCCUUGCGCUGGGAGUGGUAUAAUCAGCACAUGAGGUCGCCUGCCCAUGGUCCUUGCUAACUUGCCAACACUUCCACCCUUCUCUUUGCUCUGAUCCCAAGCUUCACUAAUAUUGAUACUAUUUUAUUUGCCUAAGCCCUCCUUGGAACUGCAUUUAUGAAUUUUAUACCUAUUGUCCUCCUAAUUGAGGUGCAAAACUUUUUUCCCUUUCAAAAAACAAAGGGAAUAUGAAGUCCUUGCUAGCUUUUUUAACAAUGAAAACUAGUGGAAGUUCACCGACACUGUAGGGACCCCUCCCCCUGAUGACACGUGGCACACAUUUCUAUCCGGAUUAGCCCCAUCCGGAUUUUCCCAAGAGGACACAUGGCACGCUUCUCCUAUCCGGACUCCCUCAGGAGAGGCACACGACACUCGUAAACAUCACAUCCGGACGACCGACAUAGCCUAUCCGGAUAUGUUUGUCCGGAUCAUUGACUAAAGUAAGUAAGUCUUACUACGUCAUUCCGACAGCUUGCCACGACCCACGUUUCGCCAUCUGCAGAGUGAAAAGACAGGAAUGAUGGCAAGUCACUUCCCACGAUCUCUGACAGCUGCGGCGCCUCCCACGAUUUCUGUCAGCCGCCUGUAGGGUGAUGAUGGCCUUGCCACCACCUAGAGGCAUCAUGACAAGCCAAAAUAUCUCCCUAUCAUUAAAGAGGGAGACAGAGCUUCUGAUACUAUAUAUAUGGACCUUCACACAAGGAGGAAGGUAAGCUUGCGAUACCUAGUAAAAAGCCAACUAAUUAUUCUCUCUAACCAUGGUUGACAAAACCAUCGGAGGGUGUGUCCGAACACCCUGUCCGGACGCCUUUUGCAGGAACGACUGAACCAGGACUCUAUAUUGGUUGAGAUCGUGCGUCCAUUCAUUUGGCAACUACGUGGAUCACCAGGGACGCGAGGCCUCAACAUUGGCGCCGUCUGUGGGAAUUUAUUGAUUCAGUCACCGACAAAUAUGACCACACCUUCUAGAAGCCGCUCGUCUAGUAGGGGAGAGGAAGAUAACUCUGAAUGGCGCCAAGCCAUUAAGAGAAGACAGUUAGCGAGCGAACGACAACUACAAGCUCUCCUCCAGGAGACAGAAAGACUAAGAGAAGAGAACGCUGUGUUGCGUAUAUAGGCUUCAUCGACGGGGCCUCCCCGUCGUCAGCGUUCAAGAGGCCAGGUAGCAAACUCAAGGCCAGACCCAGAGUCAAUAUACCCUGGGACAGCGGGAGCCAUCCCAGAAACAGGCAAUGUUAGACCACAUGAGCCACACACGCCCCUGCACCGAGCUCCCCAUGAGGAAAGCUUAGACUCUACUCAUUUUUCAGCAAAAAGACAACGCGAUAGAAGAUCCCAGUUGUCAAACUCAAUGCGCGCAAGACUAGGCCCACAAGAGCCUGGAAGGCCAAGGCCGCCAGUAGCCACAACCUGGGCAGCACACCCUGACCCUAUGGUCACCCCCAUGGUGCAGAACGUUCUCCCGCACCAUGACCCUAUGGUCACCCCUAUGGUGCAGAACGUUCACUCGCACCUAGCGGUACGACAAGCUGGGAGAAACCUCCCAAACGAGCCACCCAUUGGCUCCAUCAGCAAAAGGUUGGACGACAUGCUCUCCACGCCUUUCUGCUCUCAUAUCAUUCAUUACGAGCCCCCAAGGGGAUUCCUUGUGCCAAAAUUCUCCACAUACGAUGGCUCCAGCGACCCCUUCGAUCAUAUCAUGCAUUAUCGACAGCUCAUGACUCUCGAUAUAGGCAACGACGCGCUGCUAUGCAAAGUAUUCCCCGCCAGCCUACAAGGGUAGGCCCUCUCAUGGUUUCACCGCCUACCUCCCAGCUCUGUUGAUAAUUUCAGAGACCUAUUGGAAGCCUUCGUGGGACAAUACUUAUGCUCCGCUCGACAUAAGCAGAACAUCAACACUCUGCAAAACAUAAAAAUGCAGGAUAACGAAUCCUUAAGGGAGUUCGUGAAGCGGUUUGGUCAGGCCGUACUACAGGUAGAGGCUUACAGCAUGAAUGCUGUCCUGCAGAUCUUCAAGCAAAGUAUCUGUCCAGGCACCCCAUUUUUUGAAUCACUCGCUAAAAAGCCUCCUACGACGAUGGACGACUUGUUUCGGCGUGCGAGCAAAUACUCAAUGCUCGAAGAUGACGUGCGAGCAGCCACCCAACAAGUCUUGGUUGUCGGAUAGGCAUCCAGAAGUGGCACGAAAAGAAGUGCCAAACUUCCGGACCGGCCAAGGCCGUCCGAUCGAAGGCAGGAAGGGCCAAGUCGCCCGGAAAGGCCGUCCCUCACACCCCUUUCCAUAUCCUAUGAGAAGCUUCUCCCUAUGAUCCAAGACAUGUCCGACUUCAGGUGGCCUAGAUCCAUCGGAACGGACCCAUCCAAAAGGGAUCAUAGUAAAAAAUGUGCCUUCCAUAAGGAGCAUGGUCACACAACGGAGACAUGCAGGUGCCUCCAUUAUUUGGUCGAAAGGCUCAUAAGGGCGGGACAUUUAAAGCAAUACCUCCGCUCAGAUACCGGAGAUAGAGAUGCUUCCCGAAAUCACAACUCUGGAGCCCCUAGGGCCCUAGCCGCCCCCAAAGCCGUUAUAAACUAUAUUAACGGAGGCCCAUCUGACGAGGAGUACGACUCCAAACGAAAGAGACAAAAGUUGUUGCGGGCAGCAUCAGUGCGCGAGCGUGUCAACUCCAUCCGGCCUGGGAUAACUGGGGGGGCCCUCGCCCCAUAGAUGGGACAAUCAUUUUCCCACCAGUAGACCCCACCUGGAUAUUGCAGCCGCAACGCAACGCCCUCAUCCUGUCCCUAAAGAUAGGAGACUUCGACGUGAGACGCAUCCUGGUUGACCCAGGCAGCUCGGCCGAUCUUGUGCAAGCAUCGGUCAUUAGCCACAUGGGGCACAGUCUCACAGGCCUCGAAAACCCUGGGCGAAUCCUGUCCGGAUUCAACAGGGCGUCAACUACUUCCUUGGGAGACAUUGUAUUGCCGGUCCAAGCUGGCCCAGUCACUCUCAACGUACAAUUUUCGGUGGUACAAGAUUUAUCACCCUUCAAUGUCAUCUUGGGGCGCACAUGGCUGCACUACAUGAAAGCCAUCCCCUCUACAUAUCAUCAAAUGGUAAGUUUCCUUACCAAGGAUGGGCAAAUUGACCUAUACGGCAGCUAGUUAGCCGCUCGCCAAUGCUACCAGAUAGCACGAGAAGCAGGGACCAGCCAGGAGGAUGCAUCCCUCCCUGAGUCCAGCCAUGCACGUGACCAAUAGCAAUUAUUGAGUUCGGCGGUCAAAGAUCCCCCGACAGCGGAUCCCUUGCAAACGAUCCAAAUUUCAGAAGAAGGUACUCACCUUACGAAUAUCAGUUCCCUUCUAACACCAGAAGAGACCCGGAACAUGCAGAACGCCCUUAGACAAAACCAUGACGUCUUCGCAUGGGCACAUUCUGAUAUGAAGGGAAUUCAUAUCUCCAUUACCUCUCAUAGGCUUAACGUCUUGCCAAUAGCCAGACCUAUCCGGCAGAGGGUUAGACGUUUUCACCCAGACAUACAAAAAAUUAUCCGGAAUGAGAUUGACAAGUUGCUAGAAGCCGGAUUCAUCAGGGAAGUGCAUUACCCGGACUGGUUGGCAAAUGUAGUGGUGGUACCAAAAAAAAAAGGCAAAUGACGGGUAUGCGUCGACUACACCAACCUCAAUAAUGCAUGCCCAAAAGACAGUUUCCCUUUGUCACGGAUAGAUCAAAUUGUGGACUCCACUGCUGGGCAAGGGAUGCUCUCCUUCUUGGACGCCUUCUCCGGAUACCACCAAAUCCCCAUGUCCCCGGCUGACGAAGAAAAGACAGCCUUCAUAGCACCACAUGGUCUCUAUUGCUACAAAGUCAUGCCAUUCGGACUCAAAAACGCUGGCGCCACUUAUCAGAGACUGAUGACGAAGAUCUUCAAACCUCUGGUCGGCCGCACAGUAGAGGUAUAUAUUGACGAUAUCGUGGUUAAAAGCAAAACCCGAGAGGAACAUGUCCUCCACUUGCAAGAAGUCUUCCACCUCUUAAGGAAGUAUGACAUGAAGUUGAAUCAUUCUAAAUGCGCCUUUGGCGUAAGUGCUGGCAAAUUCCUGGGAUUUAUGGUCAGCCAAAGGGGGAUAGAGGUCAGCCCAGACCAAGUCAAGGCAGUCAUGGAAACACCACCCCCCAGGAGCAAAAAGGAAUUACAGCGCCUCACAGGCAAGCUUGUCGCGCUAGGGCGUUUUAUAGCCCGCUUCACUGAUGAACUGCGACCCUUCUUCUUAACAAUACGAAAAGUAGGAGCAAACGGAUGGAUAGACAGCUGUCAAAGCGCUUUUGAAAAAAAUUAAACAUUGCCUCAUGCAACCGCCCAUCCUGAGCAGUCCCCUCCCUGAAGAAAAACUGUAUAUGUAUCUGGCUGUAUCGGAGUGGGCAAUUAGCACUGUUCUAUUCCACUGCCCCUCACCCAAGGAGCAGAAACCUAUCUACUACAUUAGUAGAGCAUUGGCGUACGUAGAAACCAAGUAUUCAAAGAUGGAGCUAACGGCCUUAGCUCUUUGAAGUGCCGCCCAGAAGCUCCGCCCCUACUUCCAAGCCCACCCGGUGGUCGUGCUAACUGACCAGCCCCUUCGCAACAUUCUACACAAGCCAGACUUAACCGGAAGAAUGCUUCAAUGGGCCAUAGAGUUAAGCGAAUAUGGAAUCGAGUUCCAACCCAGGCUGUCCAUGAAAGGCCAAGUUAUGGCUGACUUCGUGCUGGAAUACUCCCGAAGGCCUAUCCAGCGCAAGGAACCAAGUGAAAAAGAGUGGUGGACUUUGCGGGUCGAUGGAGCCUCACGAUCAUCAGGAUCCGGAGUAGGACUCCUACUGCAAUCACCAACAGGAGAACAUCUGGAGCAAGCCAUCAGGCCGGGGUUCUCCGCCUCUAGCAAUGAAGCGGAAUAUGAGGCCAUCCUAUCCGGAUUGGACCUCGCACUGGCUCUAUCCGUCUCCAAGCUCCGGGUUUAUAGUGACUCCCAACUCGUGGUAAGGCACGUUCAGAAGGAAUACGAAGCUAAGGAUGCAUGCAUGGCGCGAUAUCUGACUAAAGUAAAGGACACCUUACAACGAUUCACUGAAUGGACGAUCGAAAAAAUCAAACGAACUGAAAAUGGAUGUGCCGACGCCCUAGCAGGCAUAGCUGCCUCCCUCCCCAUCAAAGAAGCCAUAUUGUUGCCUAUACAUGUGUAAGCCAACCCUUCCGUCGCGGAAACCUCCAUUUGCAAUACCAUUGAGGCAAACCAAGUAGACGGCCAAGAGUGGACAGAAGACAUUAUAAGGUACCUCCAGACAGACACUCUGCCUGAAGAGCCCAAGCAGGCACAUAAGCUCAGGGUGCAAGUCGCCCGUUUCACCCUGAUUGGGGGGCACUUGUACAAGCGAUCCUUCACAGGUCCCUAUCUCCGGUGCCUUAACCACUUAGAGGCCCUGUAUGUAUUAGCUGAAUUGCACGAGGGAGUAUGUGGAAAUCAUUCUGGAGGUUGAUCUCUGGCACACAGGGCCCAUUCGCAAGGAUAUUACUGGACCAUGAUGAAGAAGGAUGCGGUAGCCUAUGUCAAAAAAUGUGACAAAUGCCCAAGGCAUGCCCCCAUACCACAUGUGCCGUCGGAGACAUUGAAGCCAAUUUCAGGCCCCUGGCCCUUCGCGCAGUGGGGCAUGGACAUAGUAGGACCCCUACCAACCGCACCCGCUCAAAAGAAAUUCCUGCUUGUCGCCACGGAUUACUUCAGUAAAUGGGGGGAAGCUGAAGCAUACGUUAACAUCAAAGACAAAGAUGUCACCAAGUUCGUGUGGAAGAACAUCAUCUGCUGCUUCGGAAUCCCCCAAACCAUUAUAGCCGACAACGGUCCACAGUUUGAUAGCAUCGCUUUGCGGAAUUUCUGUUCGGAACUAAACAUCCGGAAUUCAUACUCCACACCGCGUUAUCCUCAAAGUAAUGGGCAAGCAGAGGCCACAAACAAGACCCUAAUAACUGUCCUAAAAAAGAGGCUCGAGCAAGCCAAAGGAAAGUGGGUGGAAGAGCUACCCGGUGUCCUGUGGGCUUAUCGAACCACACCCGGACGUCCAACAGGAAACGCUCCCUUCGCCCUCGCAUACGGUAUGGACGCAAUCAUUCCUACUGAAAUAGGGCUACCCACUAUCCGGACCGAGGUAGGAAGGCAAGAUGAUGCAAAUGUGGAGUUAGGCAGAAACUUGGACUAGGCAGACGAAGUAAGAGAAACUGCAUCCAUCCGGAUGGCGGAUUAUCAACAAAGGGCAUCUGCUCACUAUAAUCGCAAAGCAAGGCCCAUAAGUUUCAAAACUGGAACGCUGGUCCUUAGGAAGGUUUUGGAAAAUACUGCAAAGAUAGGAGCGAGAAAAUUUUAAGUCAAUUGGGAAGACCCCUAUAUAGUAUCUAAGACAAGUGAAAGUGGAGCCUAUCAUCUACAGAAGCUAAACGGAACCCCAUUGCUCCGACCAUGGAAUGUAUCUAAUCUAAAGCAGUAUUACCAAUGAAAGAAAAAUAGAGGUACAAAUAUGAAUAAGUAUGUUUUAUUAGAACUUGUGAAAAUUGUAUACAAAAGUUCUCUGGACUACAAAAUACAGAGAGAAGAUAGCAGUAAAAUUACAAAAAGAAAAGCUCUCAUUGGGAAGGCUUGCCGCGCAGCUUCUCCUCCUCAGCCGGGGGAAUCGAAGGGACGUCCCGCUUAAUACCAUGUUUCUUCAUACAACAAUGGUAGCCAAAGAAGUACAUUUCGUCUACCUGCUUCUGGCAGUCCGCUUCGAGUUCCUCCCUUUCCACAGCAAACUCAGCCUCCAACUCUUCUUUUUGCACUGAUAAACGCGACUGCAAAUCCUCUCUCUGCUUUUUCUCGAUUGACACAUCUGUCCGGAGUCGCCUCACUUCUCCCCUCAGCUGGGCCAUCUCGUCCUCCGCCUCAUGCAGGCGGGCGUUUGUAGAUUCCUCCCGACUCUUUGCCUCAGCUAGCUCUAUCCGGAGAGCCUCGUUGUCAUCCUAGGCAGCGGAUAAACUGGCUUCGGCCUGCUCCAAUCUCAAGCGCAGUUCCUCUUCACUGUCUUUGCGCUGGGAGACGAAGGCCUUCAUAUAAUCGGCAGUCCGCAGCAGGUCCGAAAAAAGAUCGCGUUGUUGAGCCAUGCCACGAAUACCGCUCACCAGCUACAGAAAAACCUACAAACAAGAAGUGCAAAGUUACAACCCAUGUGACAAACACAUCAAUAUGGCAGGAAAAAUCAAGAAGUAAACUAUACCAUUUCCGCCGCUUCAAACAUUUUUGCUGAAUGCACAUCAACAUUUGAGCCGGGUGGAAUCCGUUUCAGCAUCUCUCCCAACUCCGCAUAGCUGAAAGGGCUAGCGGAGAUGCAAGCCGCAUCAUCAACUAGACUUCCCCCUGACAAAACAGUAGGGUGUGACUCCUCUCUCAGGUCCGGGGCCCCAUCAUUCUCGGCCAGCUGGGUCUCUCCGGGUGAACCCUCAUCCAGGACUAGCACCGGGGAGGUUGGGUUUUCUUCUGCCAUCUCAGUCUCACUCCCCUCAUGAUGAUUCUCCUGGACGGAUGAGCAGCUGACUUCGAUGGUUUCCAGAAAACGAUCCUGAAGCCGCCCGAUGAGGCCAAACUUUAAGUCGCGGGCCGGACGAGACCUCCUUGUAGCUGGCCCCUUCACCGGUACAAAGGCAAGGGAGCUUGGCUCAUAAGGAGGCAAACCCUAACUUGCAGCCCCCGUUUCUUCCAUUGGCAGUGCCGUAGGAGGCUACGUUUCAAUACAAGAGGCCCCGGCUACAUCCGCGUCCGGAUGGGGAGAGCCGGGCUGAUUUACUGAAGUCGCUUCCUCAGCCAGAAGAGCCAGCCGUCCAGCCGCUGGCAUUGAAGGCCCCGAAUGGUUUAGACCCGCGAGACAUCCGGAGCCGCUUGAAACAGAGGGCAAGACGGAGGGAUCUGGCGUUCUUAUUGUUACUCCCUUUACAUAAGUUGGAGGUGGUAUCACCACUUCCUUUGGGGGAGUUGGAAGUUUUAUUUCUUUCCCCUUAUUGAGAACCUUCUUCUUCUUUUUCGCUGGGGCGCCAGCAGGUGGAGAGGACGCGGGACAUUUAUUACCAGGAGCCUUCCGCAAAAGUCCUUCUUGCCUUUUCUCUUCCCGUUUGUUGAGACGGGCUUUGCGUGACUGGGUGUCCGCCUUUCGCACCGCCGCGUAGAAUGGGAGAUCUUUGAGAACGAAAUGCUCACCAGCCACCACCUCUUUGGGCAGCCGCCUCGGGAGUAUGUUCAGCAUGUACGGCUGGGGCUCCUGGAUAACCAAGUGAAGAUUCUGCGCGGAGAGAAGCGUUUCACAACUCCUCUCGACCGCCGCAAUCUCAAAAAGCCUGUUCAACCGGUCGAACGUGGCUUUCUCCACCCAUUCUACCAACUUCCCCCUUUUAUCCUUGUCUGCAACCAAGAAAACAAAACAUGUCAGCCACCUAACAAUGCUGACCUAACUCGCAAACCGCAGAAAGACAGGAAGUAACUUAUUCAUACCUGAGACCUUCAAUGACUGGUUGGGAGCUAACUACCUAUCCGGAUGCACCGUCAAACCCGCCCAUAGGCCCUUGACCAGCACAUGACCCUUGGCGGCCCCCUUGGUCGAGUCCGAAAGGCUGGUCACCAACUGAAGGGAUGGAAGGCUAGCGACAAAGCUGAAGAUGUCAUUUUUCACCUUCUUAAUCGAAUAGAUGAAGAGAACCUCCAGCAGUGAGAGGUCCAGAUUGAACAACAUGCUCAGAAUGCUGCACCCCAUCAGCACCCGGACCAUGUUGGGAUGGAUGUAAGCUGGAGGAAUCUGAGUGAAGUGAAGGAAUUCCUUGAACAAUGACGGGAGGGGGAACCGGAGCCCAGCAUUGAAUUGCUCAUUGGAAAAGAAGAUAGCGUUGUCUUCAAUUUUCUCAGUCGACACGGCCUCUCCGUCCGUAAGUUCAAUGAACAAGCCAUUCGGGAUGCAGAAGCGUUCGCGAAACUCCCUCACAUUCAACUUAUCCACGGAUUUCUCAGCAUGAGCAUCUCCGGACGAGCUAGAUGAAGUAGCUUCCUAGUUCGCAGACAUUUUUUAGGCUGGGGCUGAAAUGGAAUUUGCAUGGAGGAAUGCCAACAGUCAAACACAGCAAUCCGACCCCACAACCCUAACGACAAAAACGCUCAGAAAGCCUAAACAACACCAGCAUCCCCAUCUCAAACCUUAACUCUACCGCAAAGAAGAAUCGAUGGCCUACAAAAGGCACAGGGGUGUUGAGGCCUCGCGUCCCUAGUGAUCCACGUAGUUGCCAAAUGGAUGGACGCACGAUCUCAACCAAUAUAGAGUCCUGGUUCAGUCGUUCCUGCAAAAGGCGUCCGGACAGGGUGUCCAGACACACUCUCCGAUGGUUUUGUCAGCCAUGGUUAGAGAGAAUAAUCAAUUGGCUUUUUACUAAGUAUCGCAAGCUUACCUUCCUCCUUGUGUGAAGGUCCAUAUAUAUAGUAUCAGAAGCUUUGUCUCCCUCUUUAAUGAUAGGAAGAUAUUUUGGCUUGUCAUGAUGCCUCUAGGUGGUGGCAGGGCCAUCAUCACCCUACGGGCGGCUGACAGAGAUCGUGGGAGGCGCCGCAGCUGUCAGAGAUCGUGGGAGGCGCCGCAGUUGUCAGAGAUCGUGGGAAAUGACUUGCCAUCAUUCCUGUCUUUUCACUCUGCAGGUGGCGGAACGUGGGCCGUGGCAGGCUGUUGGAAUGAUGUAGUAAGACUUGCUUACUUUAGUAAAUGAUUCAGACAAACAUAUCCGGAUAGGCUAUGUCGGUCAUCCGGAUGUGAUAUGGCGGUCGUCCGGAUGUGAUGUUUACGAGUGUCGUGUGCUUCUCCUAAGGGAGUCCGGAUAGGAGAAGUGCGCCACGUGUCUUCUUAGGGAAAUCCGGAUGGGGCUAAUCCGGAUAGAAAUGUGUGCCACGUGUCAUCAGGGGGAGGGGUCCCUACAAGGGGGGCAACAGAAACCCUAAACACACCCAAAACACGAUCAAAACCCCCCGAAAAAAGCCCUAGAAACCAAUACCGACUCCCAAUCGCAAAGAAACUUGCCCAGCAAGCCAGAAACAACCAACAAAGCAAACACAAACGAGGAAAAGACAGAGAUAGAGAAUGUACCGAGUGUAAACUGGCGAAUGGAGAUGAAAAUCCACAGUGCAGUCACUGUCACGGCACGGGUAUUGCUAGCAGAAACCCUAGAAACUCACUCACAAAUGAAGAAAAACGCAGAAGGCUGAAGAGAAAGCACUACCAGUAGAAAAAUGCAGAAGAAAAAAUGCAACAAUAAAGGGCUCAGUCCGCUAUUUAUAGUGAGACAAACCCUCGGUAUCCCAAACGCUGAGCCGUGCCAUCAUUUUAAAAGACACACUGCCUGGGAAAUCCCAGAGACGGCGGCUCAUCAUAAAUGCUCUUCUUCCUUUUCGCCCCCGCUCGCCACAUGACCCAAUGAGCGCAAAAAGUAACCUCAGUUUCAAAAACAAUUAUUUUUAACCCGCCCAUUCUGCCCAGGCAAAAUCGACAAGUUAAAAGGGGGGCAUUGUAGGGACCCCUCCCCCUGAUGACACGUGGCACACAUUUCUAUCUGAAUUAGCCCCAUCCGGAUUUCCCCAAGAUGACUCGUGGCGCGCUUCUCCUAUCCGGACUCCCUCAGGAGAGGCACACGACACUCGUAAACAUCACAUCCGGACGACCGCCAUAUCACAUCCGGACGACUGACAUAGCCUAUCCGGAUAUGUUUGUCCGGAUCAUUGACUAAAGUAAGCAAGUCUUGCUACGUCAUUCCGACAGCCUGCCACGGCCCACGUUCCGCCAUCUACAGAGUGAAAAGACAAGAAUGAUGGCAAGUCACUUCCCACGAUCUUUGACAGCUGCGGCGCCUCCCACGAUCUCUGUUAGCCGCCCGUAGGGUGAUGAUGGCCCUGCCACCACCUAGAGGCAUCAUGACAAGCCAAAAUAUCUCCCUAUCAUUAAAGAGGGAGACAGAGCUUCUGAUACUAUAUAUAUGGACAUUCACACAAGAAGGAAGGUAAGCUUGCGAUACCUAGUAAAAAGCCAACUGAUUAUUCUCUCUAACCAUGGCUGACAAAACCAUCGGAGGGUGUGUCCGGACACCCUGUCCAGACGCCUUUUGCAGGAACGACUGAACCAGGACUCUAUAUUGGUUGAGAUCGUGCGUCCAUCCAUUUGGCAACUAUGUGGAUCACCAGGGACGCGAGGCCUCAACAGACACUAGAGAUGGAAAACCCUCGUCUCAGAAAUGCAAGGAAAGGGAAGAACGUGAAGAAUUUGAAGACCUUCACACUUGGAUCAACCCUUGUUUUCUUCUUUUCUCCUCACCUUUCACUCUCAACCGUCUGCCCACACAUAUGCUUCCACAGAGCCCUAGCUGCUGCAUUAUUGGCCUUAGAAACCAGCCGCCAGACCAGCCCAACAUGUGGGUUUGAAAAAAAUACUUUCCUGAGCUGGAACCCAUAUAUGGGCAAGCCCAACAAAGUCCAUCUCUGAUUUAUGAAUUUAUUUUAUUACCUCAAAGCUAUAGGUUUGUGGGUCUGGCCCACACUUAUUGUGGUGUAAUCUCCUAUGUGGUUAAUUUGUCUUUAUAGUGUCUUCUAUGGCUCUCCAUUGCACAUGGAACCAUAUUUAAGAAUUUCAUUUAGUUGGCUGCGUUUCAUCUCAUAGUUUUAUAUGACUGUUGUGAGUAAGCUUUUCAGGCAGUGUCCUGGAAAACUAAUAGAAUUUGGAGGAUUGUCUAAUUGAUCCUAAAGAAUUUUAGCUGAGUACAAAUGAAAUGUGGAAUUUCCAUUAUUCUAAGUUUUAAACUUAUAUUUCACUUAACAACUUUUUUUUUUCCUGCAUUACCACCUCAUAUUGGAUUGUAGCCAUCUUUUCUGUCAGUUUUUUCUUCUUUUCUAGUGUUGCUGAUGCAUUAAGAUAUAUAUCUUUUGUUUUAUAUGAUGAGGAAGUUAUCAUCACGUUUUUCCUUCGUCUUUUUUACAUACAAACUCUUAUGUAGCUUGAAUCUCUUGUCUUUUGUUGUCACAUCCCAAAACCCACUUCAAGGGCAUGACAGUCAUUUCACACCUCAAGCCCAAAGGCUCAAAGUGGAAACGAUACAAACAUUCAUAUUAUAACUGAAAAUUUACCAAUUACCAAAUUCCUAUUCAGAGUAGUAUGACAAAAUUCUAAAAUCUCUCCAAGUAUCAACUUUAAAAAAACUAACACAUCAACUAGAGUGUUAUUGUCCAUAUAACUCCAAAUUCAAAUAAUUUAAAUCGGAAUUAAAUUUUAACAUCUAAACAAUGUCCAAAAAUAAAGUUUGAACCAAAAUCCUAACAAAGAAAAAUUCCCAAGCCUAACCAUCACUCCUCGCCCGAACUGAGAGUACCUGAAAAAUUAUCAACGAAGGGGCAUGAGCUCAAUAAGGAACAUCAAUGUAGUUUCAUGGAUCAAAUAUUUUCAAUCAUGUUUGCAAAUAGGAGAUAUAACAUAUACUUAUUUUCAUAAAAAACUUUUGAGUUCGAAAUACUAAUAUAUUCAAACUUUUCAACAAACUUUCUCAUAUCUUUUUCAAAACAAUUUCUCAUCAAAACCAAAUCAAAUGCAUUCAAAAUAUCUUUACUCUGGUUAUCAAAUAACAAAUGGUGUCCAAUUAGGAGAGACUUCACAAAUGAGUGGCUAGUUUCAAAUUUGUUCUAGUUGAGGUGAACAAAACCAAAAGUCAACAAUUGUAACCCGUUGACUAGGAGUCAUAAGGUCAACUAUUAUAACUCGUUGACUAGAGCCACAAGGUCAACUAUUAUAACCCGUUGACCAUAUAAUAUCAACUAUUAUAACCCGUUGAUUAGGGCCAUAAAAUGUCAACAACCCAUUGACUAGGGCCAUAGGAACUAGAGUCAAACACUUUAUUUCAUUAAUUCAAACUUACAAAACAAAAUAUCAUAUCUCCAAAAAUUUUCACUUUUCAUAAAUAAACAAGGAAGAUUUUCAAAUAUACUUUCCAUACAAAACACAUAUUUGAUCCAUGCAAAAAGAUAAAAAUAAUAUUUUUACACUUUUAAAAAUACAAUAUAAAAAGGAAAUUAUUUUCUUUUGUAAACAUCUGCAUUAAUUUCCCUUACCUUGAAGAAACACUCAAAAUCUUGAAGUAUUUAACUCUAAAGAAUUUCCUCUUCACCUAACAUAAUAUCAUACACAAUAUUGAUUAUUGAUUAUUGAUUAUUUAUCCAAACAUAUAAAUUUGAAAAUCCUAAAAAUAUUUUAUUUAGUAUUAGGGAUCCUAAUUAAUUUCUCAUAUUAAUAUUAUUACCAUCCAAUAUUAUUUUCAACUUCCUAAACAAUAAUUUAUUUCCUUUUUUUCUAACUUAUCUAGCAUAAAUCUUUUAAGAAUAUUUAUUUGCAUUAAACUAUUAUUACUAUUAUUUAAAUCUCCUACCGAAACUUAACAAAUACCCCAUGCAAUCCUUUUUUCUUUUUUUUUUCAACAUGUCAAAUCCUUUCUACGCUUCUUUCAUCAUUUUUUUUUCUCUGAAGUCAAAACUUUUAACCUCUAUACUCACAAUUUUAUAUAAUUUUCACAUCCAAAACUAUAUAAUUUUUUUAAAAUUUAAUUUAAUUUUUUAUCUAAAUCUAUUCAUUUGAGUAAUCAAAAUUUAUUGAUCUCCAUUAAUAAAUCAAACUAUGUUCAUAAAUUUUUAAUCUUUGUGACCUAGAAAUUAAUUAAAUGAACUCUAAUCAAAAUUAAGAUAUUCUAAAGAAUAUCUAAAGUGUUUAAAACUAAUUAACGAAUAUAAAAUAUUAAUUUAAAGAUUAAAAAUCUUACCUGAAAAAUUGAUCUUCAAACCCUAAACCUUCAAACCUUCAACCCUAUGCUCUCUGAUCUUUCUGAUCUUUGUGUAAAAGAGUUUUCUGAAUAGAGAAUAUAGGAAAGAUAUAAUUUAUAUAUAGGGGUUUUAAAUACGAAAAAACCUUUUUACCCUUAUUAAAUUACUUUAAUUAAUUAAUAAUUUCUAAAUUACAAUUUUACCCCUAAAUUGGGUUUGGGGCAUUACAUUUGCAUCAUCAGUAUUUGUCUUUUUCUGUUAUAAACAAGCCUAUAUUGAUGUUGAGCCCUCCCUUCUACUUUAUUUAUGUAUUUCAUACAUUAUCUAGAAGCUAAAGUUUGUGGCUCAUAUCAUUUGUCACUUAUCUUGGUAUUUUGUCUUUAUAAAGUGUCUUAUGUGGCUCUCCAUUACAAAGGGUUAUGAAAAAGAUGUGGUUGUAAGGGCAUUCUCUUCUUUAGGUGGUAACUUUUGUUGAAAUCCAAAAAAAAUUCAAAGAGAAAAAGAGAAAAAAAAAAAAAAAGGGUUUCUUAUUAUGAAUUCUCUUGAAAAUACGUGCAACACUAUUACAAUUUAAAUAGACCUAAUAAAAGAAAAUAAAGACUAUUUUACCCUUACUUCUAAAAAUAUAGAAAAUAAUUCUAACAUUGUAACUAAAUAAACAACAAAUUAUUUUUUUGCCCUUCAGAAAAAUUUCCAUCACAUAACUCCAAAACAAAUAAUUUUAUUUUUUUGUAUCCAAUUUCCUACUUUUAGAUUAAAGGAAUCAUUUCAUUCACUAGGGAUGAUGAAUAAAUAACAAAUAACUAUCAAAAAAAAAAAAAAAAACAUAUAUGAAUCAAAGAAAAUGAAUACGAAAUCGAAUACUAUGAUCAAAUAGGAAAAGAAUUAUGUCAUUUAUCUUGGUAUUUUGUCUUUAUAAAAUGUCUUGUGUGGCUCUCCAUUGUCACUUAUCUUGGUAUUUUGUCUUUCUAAAGUGUCUUCUAUGGCUCUCCAUUGCCACUUAUCAAAAGUCUAAUUAAAAGAUAAUUUUUACUCUAAUACCAAGUUGAAAUCCAAAAAACGAUUUAAAGAUAAAAAGAUCGAGAAAAAACAAAAUUUAGGAUUUCUUUUAAAAAUAACUCCAACAUCAUUAGAAUUUAAAUAAACAUAAUAAAAGAACAUAAAAACUAUUUUAAUGUUGUAGAAAGAAAGAAAAUAAUUCUAAUAUAGUAACUAAAUAUAUAAUAACUAAAUAAUACAUAAUUCUAAUAUACUAACUAAAUAUAUCUAACACCUUUUAAGAUUGGAUACCGUAGAUGGGCCCUUUUAAAUAAUAUUUCUUUGAUGUGAGAAUGGGUUUGAUAUUUUAGUAAAAUAUAGUAAAAUAAUAUUUCUUUUAUUAUAUAAAACAUAAAAGAUAGGAUAUAUAUAUACAUAGAAAAUACGAACAUAUGUAAACAAGUUACGCCUCACACAUUUCUCAACUCCAUAUAUAGUAGUAUUUCUCAAGCAUAUAAUAACAAAGGAUGAAAAUGAAGUAGUUGAGAAUUGUAUGAGAAAUAGGUUCUAGUUACAUUGGGGUUCUUCUUGUACUAGGAGUUGUAGAGACAAGCAAAUUAAACUCCUCGUCAAAAAUAAAAAGAAGUAGAACUAGUUUACGUAUCACACUUGAAAUGAAAAUGCAUGGAAGAGAAAAGCCACACCUUCCUAGAAUCUAGCUACAUGUCCCAAUAGUGUUAGGAUUCCAUAUGAGUUAGAAGUAUAAAUUUUGUGAGCUAGCUCACUUUAUAUAUCCCCAUCAUCAUUAAUUUUUCUCAUGCAGGAAAGCCCAUUUCAAUUUUCUAUGGCUGGUGAAGAAAUAAGUGUCCCAAAGCUACCAGUAGGAUUCAUAUUUCUACCCACGGAUGAGGAGUUGGUGACCUAUUAUUUGAUCAACAGGGUGUAUUACAGGCCUCUUCCAGCCAAACCCAUUCAAGACAUUCCUGCAAGUGAAUUUUACGGCAGUCCUUCUCAUCAUCUAGGUACUUUGAUUUAUGAGCAUGAUAUACAUAUUAAAUCCAAAUCAUGUAAAAUUAUGUUUUUAGGAAAACUGGUAGUUCAACAUGGUAUCAAAGUUAGGAAAGAAGGCUCAAACUUGGGUUUUCUCCAAAAGUGGUUGAAUGUCGUAAAAGUUCGACCUACCCACUCUUCAAAUUGAUAAAUGGUAGUUUUUUCCAUUCAUACUUUCAUUCGUUCAUGUACAAGAGAAUAUAUAGAGGGUAAUCACCAUUUUAAGAAUGGGAAGGAAUGAUACAAGGAAAGAAUGAUAUAAGGAAAUAACAACUAAUAUCCUAAUAUCUCAAUAUUCCUAAUAUCUCAAUAUUCCUAAUAUCUCAAUAUUCUUAAUAUCUCAACUUUCCUAAUAUUUAAACAUUCCUAAUAUCUCAACACUAAAUAAUAUAAGGAAAUAAUGAUAUACGGAAAUCAUUCCUAAUAUCUCAACACUCCCCCUCAAGUUGGUGCAUAGAUGUCACACAUGCCCAACUUGUCUAAAAAUUUUGAGAACACUUGACUUGAGACAGCUUUGGUGAGGAUAUCGGCCAAUUGAUCUUCUGAUCGAAUCUUAGGCAAUUCCACAAUCUUGUCAUCCAAUUUUUCCUUAAUGAAGAAUCUAUCCACCUCGACAUGCUUUGUACGAUCAUGUUGUACUGGAUUAUGAGCAAUGUCACAUGCGGCUUUAUUGUCACAAAACAAUUGGAUUGGUUGCCUAGAUAGGUAACCUAAAUCCUGUAAGAGAAGUCUUAGCCAUAAUGCCUCACAAAGUCCUAGAGCCAUACCUCUAAAUUCUGCUUCUGUACUUGAACGAGCGAUGACAUUCUGCUUCUUACUUUUCCAUGUCACAAGAUUACCACCUACAAAGGUAAAGUAACCAGAUGUAGAUCGCCUAUCAUCCACUGCACCGACCCAAUCAAUAUCAAUAUAUACUUCUAUACUCUGAUGAUUAACAUUUUUAGUGAACAAAAUUCCCUUCCCAGGAGCAUUCUUCAAAUACCUCAAAAUACGCAUAACUGCAUUCAUAUGUUGCUCUCCAGGAUUAUGCAUGUAUUGACUCACUACACUCAAUGCAUAAGCAAGAUCUGGUCUUGUAUGAGCUAAGUACAUUAAUCUCCCCACAAGUCUCUGGUAUCUUCCCUUAUCAGUUGAUACUUGAUUAGGCUCAACACACAAUUUCAGACCUUCUUCUAUUGGUGUAUUAACAGGUUGACAUCCUGACAUUCCAGUCUCUUGUAAAAGAUCUAAGGCAUACUUUCUUUGAGACAGAAAAAUUCCUUCACUUGAUCGAGAAACUUCAAUCCCAAGAAAGUAUUUCAGAGGACCUAGAUCUUUCAUUUCGAAUUCUCUAGAUAGAUAAUUUUGCAGAGCUUUUCUUUCUUCAGGAUCAUUUUCUGUAACUACCAUGUCAUCCACAUAUACGAUGAGUGUGGUAAUCUUACCAUGUUGCUUUUUCAGGAACAAAGUAUGAUCUGAAUUACUUUGACGAUAGCCAAAAGCUCUUAUUGACUUUGUGAACCUUCCAAACCAUGCUCUCAGGGAUUGCUUCAACCCAUACAAUGACUUCUUCAAUUUGCACACUUUCUGACAUUGCUUUUUUGACACCAUGCAUCCUAGUGGAAUAUCCAUAUAUACUUCUUCAGAUAACUCGCCAUGCAGAAAGGCAUUUUUCACAUCGAACUGUUGUAAUGGCCAAUCUAGGUUUGCAGCUAAAGACAGUAAUACUCGAACUGUGUUGAUCUUAGCUACAGGUGCAAAUGUCUCUGUGUAGUCAAUUCCAUAAGUUUGAGUGUACCCUUUUGCUACCAGUCUUGCUUUAAAUUGUUCAAUACUACCAUUUACCUUGUACUUCACAGUAUAGAUCCAACGACACCCAACUGGCUUCUUUCCUGGUGGACAUUCUACGAGUUCCCAUGUUUCAUUCUUCUGCAAUGAUUUCAUCUUUUCAUUCAUGGCUGCUUUCCACCUUGGAUCAGCUAAGGCUUCUUGCACACUGUUAGGAAUAGCUACAGUAGAUAAUUGAUUUACAAAUGACUUAUUUGAUUCAGACAAACGAUGGUUAGACACAUAGUUGCUCAUGGGAUAUUUGACUUUGGUAGACAAUUCAGGUUUAUUUGUGGGUUUAGGAAUACCUCUAUUAUGACGGUGUGGUAACCGUUUCAUGAAUGGAUCAGGUUCCAAAUUAAGAACACCUUCAACAGACGACGAUUGGUUUGGUAUUUCAGUGAAGACAUCUUCGGACCCAAAUUGUUGACCACUCAUAUCCAACUCACCCGCUUCUUGGUUCACUAGUUCAGAUUGUCCAGAUUCAUUCUCCUUAGAGAUAUGAUAAUCAUAAUCGAGAGUCUGAAUUUCCUUAUGGUACUCCCCCUGAAGUUCAGACUCAGAUGAAAAAUACAUCGAAUCUUCAUGAAACACCACAUCCAUUGUAAUAUACAUUUGUCGAGUUGGAGGAUGGUAACAUCGAUAUCCCUUUUUAUGCAAUGCAUAUCCAACAAACACACAUUGCAAUGCAUGGGAAGUUAAUUUGGUGCGUUGGUGUUUGUGUAGAUGCACAAAUGCCACACAACCAAAAACAUGAGGAGGUAGAUUUGGGAAAGUUGGGGCAACUACGGCAUUAGUAAGAGCUUGGAGAGGUGUUUGGAAGUUAAUUGAGCUGGAAGGUACCCAAUUGAUCAAGUAUGCGGCAGAUGUGAUUGCUUCUCCCCAAUAAGAUAUCGGUGUUUUUGCUGCUAUCAAGAAAACACGAACAACCUCUAACAAGUGCCGAUUUUUCCGUUCAGCGACUCCAUUUUGCUGGGGUGUAUUGGAACAAGUAGUCUGAUGAAUGAUGCCAUGUCCUUCCAAAUACUUUUGAAGAUCAGAACUUUGAUAUUCUUCACCAUUAUCACUACGCAGAACCCGAACCUUUGCAUUGUACUGAGUUUCAAUCAUUUUAUGAAAUUUUUGAAACAACAAGUUCACUUCAUCUUUGGUCUUCAUCAAGCAUAACCAUGUCAUUUUGGUACAAUCAUCAAUAAAAGUAACAAACCAAUGUGAGCCACUCAAAGUUGGGACUUUGGAUGGACCCCAAACAUCAGAAUGUAUAACCAUAAAAGGAAACGGACUUUUGUUCAAAAUUAACGGAAACGAAACACGAUGGCUUUUAGCCAAUUCACAAAUAUCACAACGGAAACCAGAAAUAUCACUCUUUGCAAACAAACUAGGAAACAAUUUUUUUAAAUAACCAAAGGAAGCAUGUCCCAGACGUCGAUGCCACAACCAAAUUUCAGACUUUUUCUUCUCCCCCUCAGAUCCAUCUGCCAUCAAGGCUUGUUGCAACUUAUUUGAAUCCUUUGACUGCAAGUCCAAGUAAUAGAGUUUUCCCCGCUUAAUACCACAACCAAUCGUCUGUCUUGUUUGGAUGUCCUUAAUCACACAAAAUUCAGGCCAAAAAAUGACAAUACAAGAUAAGGCUGCGGUGAUUUGAGAAAUUGACAAAAGAUUGUAAUCUAAAGAUGGAACAACUAAGACAGAAUCCAAAUUCAAAGUAUCAGUAAGAGUUAAGGAUCCUUCCCCAAUGACUGGGGUUGUGUUACCAUUGGCUGUGGAAACAAUUUUUUGUGAGGAAGGUCUAAGGGGUGAAACCUGUCUAGAAUCAAAAGUCAUAUGAUCUGUAGCACCAGAAUCAAUUAUCCAUGCACUAUUAAUAACAGGUGUAAAAGUAUUUAAAAACUUACCACCAUGAUCUGUAGCGGCUACCAAUGCAGAGGCUUUCUCAGCAACAUUAACCUCUGUUUUUAUUUCGGCAACAGUUGCAAUCGAGGUUUUCUUGGAAUCCUUCUUCCGUUGAUCACGAUUAUUAUCAUUAAUAAACAAAGUGUUGAUAGCCCUAACAUGAUCUAAAGGUCCAUNNNNNNNNNNNNNNNNNNNNNNNNNNNNNNNNNNNNNNNNNNNNNNNNNNNNNNNNNNNNNNNNNNNNNNNNNNNNNNNNNNNNNNNNNNNNNNNNNNNNAAAGGUCCAUGGUCAAACCCUCGGUUCCUCAUUGUUUUCCUGGUCAUACCAAGAGUCGUUGCUUUGAAAUUAUGGGAUAUCCAGAUUGGUGGGAUCAAUCGUAUUGCAGUGAGUGCAUUUGAAGGUUGACUUAUCAACAUUAGGGCUUGUCUUAGGAUGGAUGAUCACUGUCGGACUACCAUAGCGACAAAAUAUUCAGGAUUUCAGUUUCAUGGCUCUGAUACCAUCUUCAAAUUGAUAAAUGGUAGUUUUUUCCAUUCAUACUUUCAUUCGUUCAUGUACAAGAGAAUAUAUAGAGGGUAAUCACCAUUCUAAGAAUGGGAAGGAAUGAUACAAGGAAAGAAUGAUAUAAGGAAAUAACAACUAAUAUCCUAAUAUUUCAAUAUUCCUAAUAUCUCAAUAUUCCUAAUAUCUCAAUAUUCUUAAUAUCUCAACUUUCCUAAUAUUUAAACAUUCCUAAUAUCUCAACACUAAAUAAUAUAAGGAAAGAAUGAUAUACGGAAAGCAUUCCUAAUAUCUCAACACCCACACAAACCAUGUUUUCCAAUGCUGUUCUUUUCCUUGACGAUACAAUAAGUGGGAUGGUAAAAAAGUUUAUUGGAUGUUUGGCUUAACUGCUUUUCAACUUCUUUAUUUGAUUCAUAACAGCAAUCUCAUCAAGCAGAGAAAGGGAGUAUUUUUUCUUUAUUCAAGGAGAUGAUCAAGGAGAGGAAAUUCGAAUGGUUGAAGAUGGAAGAGGGUUCUGGAAAUUGAGUGGAGAUGAGACUCCGAUCUAUGAUUCAGAUGGGAACAUCUUUGCCUUCAAGAUUUAUUGGACGUAUUUAUCAGGAUCGCUUCAGAAACCCAAGAAAACACAUUGGAGAAUGGAAGAAUAUCGACUUCCCCUUCAUUGUUACAUGGACCAUGAUUUCAAGGUGGGUGAAGAAAAUAAAAAGGAAUGACCAACAUAUGCAAUCUCGUUAUUUUUAUUGGUUUUCAUAAAUAUAAAAAUUUCAAUAUCAAAGAGAGUUUCCUCUUUUAUUUUUUUUAAAAUAAAAUGUGAAAGCAUUUUUAGAAAAUAAAAAUUUAAAAAUAUUUUCCAAAUUAAACACAAUUUAUUAUUAUUUUUUUUCAUUUUUCAUUUUUGUAUUCUUGUUUUUUGCAGGGAGAAAAAUUGGUAUUGGGAAGAAUCAAACGAAGCAAAGAUUAUAUUUCUUGGUUGUAAUUAUUAGGGAACAUGAUAUGUAUAUUGAAUUCAAAUUCUGUAGGCUUAAGUUUUUAGGAAAAUUAGUAGUUCAACGUGGUAUGAGAGCUAGGGAACAUGAUAUGUAUAUUGAAUUCAAAUUCUGUAAGCUUAAGCUUUUAGGAAAAUUAGUAGUUCAACGUGGUAUGAGAGCUUGAUUUAGUGAAAAGUCUUGUAUUCGAGCUGUCUCUUUAGAAUUCACAUUUUCCCAUAUGAAUCUAAAUUACCAAAAUCAUGUAAACUUAAACUUAUAUAGGAAAAUGAGUAGUUCAACAACAAAGUUUAUUUUAUUUUUUAGAAAAAUUGGUAGUUUAAUAUUAAAGUUUAUUUUAUUUUAUUUUUAUGUUAUUCUUUUGAUAAUGGGAUUUAAUUUAUUUAAGAUUAAAUUUAUGUUUGCAAAGUUGAAAUUAUUUAGUAAUUUAUGCACAACACUUAUUCUUCUAUUUUCUUGAUUCUUGAUCGAUUAUUUUCAUGUUGAAAUAACAUGUUGUAAAUUUUUUGAAAAAAUAUCAAUUAAAAAAAUGGUUAAUUUCGAGGACAUUGAAUUAAUUUUUAUAAUAAAAUUUAAAAUGAUUUCCUAUAAAUUUUAAAUUAGUUUUAUUAAAUAAAUGUUAAAAUUAAAAAAAAAAUGUUUAUUUUUUAUCUUGAAUUUUAACCUCAAUCUUCUCUAGUUUGAAAAUCAUUUUAUAGUAAAGACAACAAAAAGCAUAAAAAAUAAAUAAAUUUCUUAUUUUAAAAAAAUAAAUGAUUAAAUUAAAUUUCAAAUUAAUUUAAUAUAAAAUAGUAAUUGUUUUUACGCUUGAAAGUUUUUAUUUCACUUAAUUAUAAAUAAUAAAAAUGAGAGUAUUCUUUAAUCUAGAAAAGGAUAGAAAAUUUAUCCUUCUAAUGAGAUGAUAGUGUAAUGAUUAUAUUAUUUUAAAUUAUACAUAUACAUCACUUAAGAAAUUAAACAAAAUAUAUCAUUUUGAUAGUAAAUAGAAAUAAAUUUAAGAAAAAAAUUAUUUUCUAAUAAUUUUAAAUUUUAUCUUAAAAUAAAUUAAAAGAAUUCAAUUUUUCUAUUCACCUUUUAUAAGAAAUUAAAAUUUUAGUUUUCCAUAUUUCAUAUAUUUUUUUUAAAUGAAAAGAACCUUUACAAAUAAAUUGAUAAAUAAAAAAAUUAAUUUUAAGUCAAUGGAUGAUAAUUUUUUUUCCUUCAUUUUUUAAGUUUAUUUUCAUAAAAUCACAUGACUUAAUUGAUAUUCUUAAACUUGACUAAAAAUUUAACACUUGGUUUUUAAUUUCCUAUAGAUUAAAAAUACAAAUAUAAAUAGAAAUUUUUUUAAGUGAACUGAAAUCAAUAAUUUAUUUAUUUUCAUUCAAUUUUUAAUUAUAGUAAAGAUAAAGUAAUUAUAUUGGAAAUUAAUAAGUGCAUAAAUUUAUAAAUAUUUUCAAAUUUGUGGAUAUAAAUUUUAUUUUUCCAUGUUAUUAAAUCUAUCUAUUUAUGUUAUAUUCUCUCUACAAAAGAUUUUCUUCACUCUCGAUUAUUUGACAUUUUAAAAAAUUUAAUUAAAUAAAAAUCAUUUUGAAAUUUCUAGAAAUUUAAUUAAAUAAAUAUCUAUUUCAUAUAUUGCUUUUGCAAUUGAUAUUGAGACAUGAAUUUUAGCCUUUAAGAAACUUUCCCAAACAAAGCGUUAAGUUCAUUAAAGCAUCAAAAAAUUAACGCUUGGCAUGGAAUAAGCACUUUUCGGUACUACCAUACUGAAUAUUUUCCAGGGUCUUUGCUUUGGAAAUGGCUUUAAUCAAUCCUUGAAAGUUGGAUCACAUAAUAUCUUGUGUCAAAUCCAGCGCUCCUCAACAAUCUUCAUUUUGAAAACAAUCACAUUUUCACAAUGAAACUCUAUGGAAAAAUUUCUUUUCUAGCUCCUUUAUUAUGAUUUUUGCAGUAACAAACUUUUUUUUUGCUCUUUCUCUUUGUCAGUGAGUUAGACCAUAAAGUUUCGAUUCAUAAUUUUGUUCCAAACAUUAUAUGAUCCACAUGAUGCAUUUUUUGAGACUAAUUUUGAUACAACUUUUAAUGCUAGUAUUCAUCCAAACAAACUCAUUCAUAUUUACUUGAACGAUCUUAAAUAUGAUCCUCAAACUAAAAAACCAAAUUUGCAUAAUAGCAGGUGCUUAACACCUCUGGUGAGUGCUUAACACCCCUGGGGAGUGCUCAAGUGUUCAAGACUAAUUUUAUAUUUUUUUGUCAUUUUUAUUUUUUUUAUUUUUAUUUUGUUAUCGAUUUGGCUUGCUAGAGUUCAAAUACACCCUUUUUUUUUUUCAAUAAUUUUUGAAUGUUUUAAAUAUGCUCUAGAACAAUAUUGUCCUUAUUCCCAUUGAGGCUCCAAGAACCUCAUUCUUGAUAUAGAUUUGUUGGUGGUGGUGGUUGACUACAUCCCAUUGAGGCUUUAAGGAGUUCACAAUGGAGCACACUGUGUUGUGUUGGCUCCAAGAACCUCAUUCUUGAACCUCAUUCCAAGAACCUCAUUUCCCAAAGAGAGGAUGGCCGGGCUGCCCCCACUUUCAGUCCCCAUUUUCCCCCCAUUUUUUCUUCUUCAGUUUUUCUAACAGAGACACGGCAGCCCAGCCCCGAAUUUUUUUCUCUCUUUUCCCCCUCUCUGCAACUCCACUUCGAUUCAGAGCAGCGCCCAGGGAUUCACUUCUUUUUUAUUUUUUAUUUUUCAUCAUUCCAUUCACUCCACUACACCUCACCGGCCGAACACCCCUUCAUUUCUUUCCCAUUUUUUUUUUCCUUUCAUUCUCCAUUUUUUUUCCUUAUUUUCUUUAUUAUUAUUAUUAUUUUCAAAAACUCAACCCCUCACCGCCGUCGGGACACCGAUCAGUCGCCACCGGCGAGCCACUGCCGGUCGGUGAUCCCCUUCCCAUCUCACCCUUUCCAUUACUAUUAUUAUUAUUAUUAUUAUUAUAUUAUUAUUAUUAUUAUUAUUAUUAUUAUUAUUAUUAUUAUUAUUCAUUUUUCUCGAUUUGAUUAUAAUAGUAAUUGUUGUUUAUGAUACUUGAAUUGUUGAAUUAAUACAAAAUUUGAGUUAAUUUGUUGGUGGUGAAUUAAUAUGAAACUUGGGCUAUUUUUGUUUUUGCAUGGACUCGUUCUGCGAACUUGUUGGCUGAGUAUAAAUUUAUGACACGUGAAGCACGGAAUUUCAUGGAACAAAGUGAGACUCGAAAAGCUGUAAAUGGAGCAUUAAACUUAUUGUAAGCCUAUUGGGGUACAUAUUUGAUUUCUCAUUUAUAUUCAGUUUUAUUUUUAUUGAUUUCUGUAAAUAUUUAUCUAUGUAUAUUUACUUGUGUGUACAGAAUUGAAUAUUGAACAAACUAGAAAUUUUGUUUAAAUGAGAGGAAGAAUUCAGUAAAUGUGUUUUGAUGAAACAAUAAUUUUAAAAUAUUAUUUUUAAUAAAAGAAAGUUUUUUUUUAUUAUUUAUAAAAAUUCAGAAAAAUGCAUUUAGAAAAAUCCAAAAAAUUGUUUUUAAUAGAAUUUGAAAUUUUUUUUAAUGACAUUGUCCAAAAAUUUUUUUGUUUAAUAAAAAUUGUCCAAAAAUUGUUUUGUAAAUAAAGUUGUCCCAAAAAUUAAUUUUUAAUAAAAUUGUCUAAAAAUAUUUUUUCAAAUGAAUUCUUUUUCUUUAAUUAAAAUGGGAUUAAAAGUGUUUUUCAGAUAUAGAAGAUUUAAAUAUUUGUUUUUCUUUUUAAUUAAAAUUUCUUUUGCAAAUAAAGUUAUAUCAUUUUAAAUAAUUUGUAAAAAUCACUCUUUUAAAUGAAAAUAAAUCUAAAUACUUUUGUAAAUAAAAUUGUAAAAAUUCAUUAUUUUCUAGUAAAAGUAACUAAAAAUAAUUUUUGUGCCCAAAUUGAAAUUUUGUAAUAAAUUCUUUUGAUACUAAGUGUAAAUAACUUUUUUUGAAAAUUGAAUAUAAACGAAGUUGAGAAAAUAAAUUGAUUCUUUUUUUGUAAGAAAAUAAUUUAAAAUCAUUAAUUUAAAAUCAUUUUUAAUAAAAUCCUUUGAAAUUUCUUUAAAACUUUUUAAAAUAUCUUUUAUUUAUUUAAUUCAAUAAAUCAUUCUGUAUAAUUCUCUCAUUAUUUAUUUUGUGUAUUUUCGUAAUUAGAUUUCAUCAUUAUUUGUGUAUAUUGCUUUUCACUAUGACUUGUACAUGCUCAUUUGCUUGAUUAUUAAUUUUGGUAUCCAUGAUUAAUUAGUUAAUUGUCACCAUUACUUCAUUUUAUUAGUAGAGACCCGAUUUUAGGGAUUUAGAGGGGUGUUGCGGUCUUUACUGUACCUUCCCGAUAAGUAACCUGACCCCCGAACUUGAUCCGGUUUUUCACAGAUCACCUUUUCCAAAAUAAAGAGUCACACUUAGGGUUUUUAUUUCUUAUUUUGUUUUCCCUUUAAAAAAAUUAAAAUAAGUGACGACUCCAAGUCUUUUUUCUAAGAAUCAAAUUUUAUCAAAUAAAACAAAAAGCGAGUUUCGCUAUCGAGUAGGAACGCAUGAGUCGAAAAUACAGGGUCCACAAAGACCCUUGAGAGAAUAUAGGGUUUGAUUUAUGUAAACUUGUGUAUUUGAUCUUUCAUAUUUAUUGAAUUUGCUUAAUUUGUAGUCGAUUAGACUUAUGAUUUUUACCUCAAUAGUGUUUUUUUAUUUUUUAUUUUAUGUAUAUUGGUAUGUUUGGUAAUUAUUUUCAAGAACAUUUUUCUUUUUUUUUAGAGCAAAAAAAAAAAAAAAAACAUGUCUCAUAACCAACAAGCUAUUUUCUAUUUUUUGUUCUUAAAAACAAAACACAAAGUAUUUUCAGAAAAUAAUAUAUUUUAGUUGUUUUCACUUAUUUUCACUUGUUUUCUAGAACCGUUUUGAAGAAUAAUUAUACAAACAUGUAAAAUGAUAAAAAAAUAAAAUACUAGAUAUAAAAAUUAUUUUUAAAAAUAUUAAAACAAAUUGAAAACAUUUUAGAUUUCUAGAUAGACUUUUGUUUUACAAAACAUAGAAAAUAGUUUUCAAAAACUGAUUUUCAGAAUUAUUUUUGAAAACAGUCACCAAAUAUGGCAUAUUAUGCCUUUUGUGCAACUAAAAUUCAUUUUAAUAUCUAUAAAAUGUUAUUUGUGAAAAAUUUGAAAUUUAAGACAUCAAAUCAUGGUUACCUAUUCACUCUUGUGUUAAUUUUAGGAAUCAAGAUUUGUACUUUCAAUCGGUAUCAAAGCAUAUUGAAGUUAAAAAAUUAAAUUUUUUAUUCUUGUAUAAUUGUUAUCUAUAUAUCUUAUAUUAAUUAAAGAAAAUAUUAUUUUUAAAAAAUUUGAAAUUUAAGACAUAAAAUGAUGACUACUUAUUCAAUCUCAUGGUAAUUUCAGGAAUUAAGAUUCAUACUCUCAAUUAUUAUCAAACCAUAUUAAAGUUAAAAAAUUAAACUAUUUAUUCCUACAUAAUAGUUGUUCGAUGGAACCACAAAGAGUACAUCAUCUAUAAAAUUUUUAUCAUGGUUUGUCUCAACAAUCUCCGUACCUAAUUUUCUUAGAAUAUACUUUAUAAGAGUAGGACAACAACUCGAGUGGGUUGGGUUGAGUUCAUGGCUAAUCCCACAUCAACCUAUUUCAAUGGGAGAUUGAUUCAACACAUUUGAAUAUAGUAACAUUGGGAAACAUCUUCAUUGUUUCAGUGCUUCAACAAAGGUUUGGAAAUUCUUGUAAGAAGAUCCACCUUCAAUCACACUUUUUCUAGCCAUUUCCUUCAACUUCUCUGCAUUUGCUUUUAUACCAUCAUCAGAAACCAACAUUUCGAUCUUCUUCUUAAUCUCAUGCCUUGAUAUGAAUCCAUUUUCAUCUGGGUUCAACCCCAAGCCCACCUUCCAUUUGUCGCAUAUGUAACUCUGGUUAUGGAAUUGAUCUGCAAAGUAAGGCCAGCAUAGGAAGGGGACUCCCAUGCCUAUGCCGUCCAUGGUUGAGUUCCAUCCACAAUGGGAUAAGAAACAUGCAACAGAAGGGUGAGCUAACACCUUUUCUUGGGGUGCCCAUGAAACAAUCUUUCCAUGCUCAGCUACUCUCUCUAUGAAACCAUCUGGGUAUUCAGCAGCUGAUCCAUUGGUGAAGUCUGAUCGGACAACCCAUAAAAAUGGCCGGCCUACAAGUUCAAUACCCAGUGCUAGUUCAUUGAAUUGGUUCUGGCUUAAGAUUGCUACGCUUCCAAAGGCAACAUAAAUGACUGAGCCAGCAGGUUGCUUAUCGAGCCAGCUUAUGCAAGUUGAAUCCUCAGGCCAAAAGUUUCCAGUAUAAUGACCCAGAUGAUUACUUGCAAGUAACGGGCCUAUUGGUAAUAUGUUGGGAAUCAAGUCACAAGCAGAUGAAUCAAGUUCGUAAACAGAGUUGCAAAGAAGCCAAUUGGAAAGAUUCAUAGCUGAGAUGUCUUUGAAAGCAAAUUGGAAAAUGACCUUUUGUAAGUUUGGAUCACUUGGGCAGCUCCAGGGCAAUUUGUUGCUGCUAAAGGCUGGGAUAUCCUUUGCCAGGGAGAUCAACUCGUCGUUCAAAAGAGAUCCUGCAAAGAUAUUACAAUUAUUAAUUUCCAUCAAAACCAAGAAAAUACUUAGCUACUUCCCCCGAUUUUUAUUGAAUUUUCAGGGGCUAUUAGCUUUAGUCUCUAACUUGUUUUCAAUUACUAGAACCUUCAUGUUUCAACAAAUUUAAUUUUAGAAAUAUGAUAUGUGCAAGUUGAAGUGUUAAUACCAUCAAUACCAUUUACAUGUCCGGCCUCAAUAAGCCUUGGAAUGUGAAAUAACAAAGCCAAGCUUCCUGGUCCACAGGGGCAAAACGCAACGCUCUUGAUCCCCAUCUUCUCGGCAACCUCUAGCGCCCACCCAACUGUUGUAUCAGCAAUAACACAAGUGAUCUUCUCAUCAUCAUUCGAGUUGUUAACCUUCUCAAUCAACUCCUUCAAAUGACCCGGCAUGACUCUUAACAUACUGUCUGUCGACUUGAGUAAAUCUUUUCGAUCCUCCCCUGGACCCAGUCCAUCUGGGAUCGAGGCUAGCCCUAUCCGACUCUGAGCCUCAUCCUCAUCUGGCAGUGCAGCCACCAGUUUUUCAUGUAUGAAGUCUGAGUUAACAAAGGUGACCUUGAUCCCAUGAUCAGAAAUCUGGUACGCAAACUUCAUAAGGGGAGUAACAUGUCCUUGUGCUGGGCAUGGAAUAAUCAGCACAUGAGGUCGGCCCAUGGUUGCUGCCAGCACUUCUGCUUCCUCUGAUCCCAAGUUUCAGGAUUAAUACUGCUUCUCUUUAUUAGCCUGAGCCCUCUAUUGUGUGAAUCGUAUACCUAUUUGCUAAAAUUUUAGCUGCAGCCCAUCUCCCAUUUAUGAAUUUCAUUCAUUAUCUGAAAGAUAUGGUGUUGUUGCUUUUAUCUCCUAUCUAUUCUGUCUUUAUCAAGUGUCUUGUGUAAUGGCCCAAACCCAAGGGUAAAAUCAUAAUUUAGAAAUUAUUAAUUAAUUAAAGUAAUUUAAUAAGGGUAAAAAGGUAUUUUCGUAUUAAAAACCCCUAUAUAUAAAUUAUAUCUUUCCUAUAUUCUCAAUUUAGAAAACUCUCUUACACAGAGAUCAAAAAGAUCAGAGAGCAUAGGGUUGAAGGUUUGAAAGUUUAGGGUUUGAAGAUCAAUUUUUAGGUACUUUCAAUUCGGGUGAAGAGUGAUGGCUAGGCUUGAGAAUUUUUCUUAGGAUUUUGGUUCAAAUUUUAUUUUGGACAUUGUUUAGAUGUCAAAAUUUAUUUUUUCGUUUAAAUUAUUUAAAUUUGGAGUUAUUUGGACAAUAACACUUUGAUUGAUGUGUUAAUUUUUUAAAAGUUGAUACUUGGAGAUUUUAGAAUUUUGUCCUAUUACUCUAAAUAAGAAUUUGGUAAUUGGUAAAUUUUCAAUUACAAUACGAAAGUUUGUGUCGUUUUCACUUUGAGCCUUUGGGUUUGAGGUGUGAAAUGACUGUCAUGCCUUUCGAGUGGGUUUUGGGGCGUGACAUCUUGUGUGUCUCUCCCGUUACUUUGGUGUAAUUUUAAAGCUAUAUAGCCUAUAUUGCACUGAUAAACUUUUGGUUUCUACAUUACACACUCCAUAUAUGCAUUAAACUUUUUGUUAGUGCAGCCAUUGGAUUGUAGUCAUUUUUUCUACUUGGUUUUUCCACCAAGUUAUUGAUACCCUAUGGAUUUAUUCUCAAGUGCUUCAAGGUAUAUUAUCUGAAGUUACCAUUGGUUGUUUGCUUUGUCUUUUAUCUAGAACCUCAUAUGUAGCUAGCCUCUUUUUGUUGUUGCAUGAUUGGUUUGAGCUCUUCCUUCUUAUCCCAUGUGUUUGUUGACCAAGCUUGUAUUGAUGUUGAACCUGAUUGAUGCUACUAGCAAGGGAAAUGAAAUUGAAAUAUAUAUUCUUUCUCAAUGUUUUAAAUAAAAAUUAUGUUUCAUUCAAAUAUUUCAAUUUAAAAAAUCAAAAUUUUCUUGUCUUAAACAAUAUUCAUUAUCAAAAUAUUUAAAAUUUUGUUAUAUUAUAUUAUUUAAUAUAUGAAAAUAAUUUAUAUAUAUAUGUGUGUGUCCUAUAUGUUAACUUAGGAUUUAACAUAUUCUAUAUGGAAGAUAUAUAAAAAAGAGAUCAAACAAUAUAUCACAAUACUUAUCCUAUAUCAUAUUUGGUUGAACAUAAGAAAAGAUAAAUUAUAAAAUAACUUAUCCUAUCCUAUUACUAAUUAAAUAUGGGAUAAGAUAUAUUAUCUUAUUUUUUAUCUUAUCUCAUACUAUAUCUAAUUAAUUAAAUAUAGUCCAAAUAUAAAUUGUUUUGUGGGUGAUUCUAAUCAUCUUGAUCAUAAAAACUACCAAAAAGGUCGUGACAAAAAGAAAGAAGAUUCAUAGGCUUAUCCAAUAACAAGUAUUAAUAUUCAUUUUCAUAGAGACGUGUUCAAAUCAUCUAAGGCCAAAUUAGAGAUAAAUAAAUAUUGUAAAUUUUGUCAUAAUUAAUUGAAUACAUUUUUUUUUCUAUAAUAAUAAAAUGAGUUCAUUGAAUAGAGAAACAAAAACAAACAUGUUUCCAAUGAACCUAUGCUCAAAUCUUUCCAAAAUUUAAAAUAUAGAAUAUAUUAAAAUGCUAUGGUCUCUUCUCUGCACUCCACUACAUGAUAUAUUUUCAUUUAUUUAUUUAUUUGGAUAAACUUGCUUGAUCCAACUCAUUUACAUCUUUGAUUCAAAUGUGGGAGUCGGUCAGGGCCCCGGAGGGGCACAUGCCCCCCUUAAAAAAAUAAAAUCAUAAUAAUUUAAGCCAUUGACUUACUAUUUGAGGAGAAAACAUGCUUUUCAAUGCACUAUAUAUCAUAAUUUUUUAUAAUAUGAACAAUAUAAAAAAAUAAAAGAUUGUGAUGUAUUCAAGUAUUGAAAUACCACUAGAAACCAAGGUUUAAAUUUGAGUUUUGGACUUUGAAAUUUAUGAAAAUGGGGUCAAGCAGAAGAAAGAUUUUUGGUAGCCAACCAAGGCAGAAUCAGUUUCUUUGGCUGCUUCAUCUUUCAUUUAUUUCCUUUUCCCAUUAAAUUAUUAUUAAUUAUCUAACAACUUAUGUUGAAUAAUGAAGGGCUGCCCCCACUCUUAAUUACAAUACAAAAUUGGUAGUUGUUUUUAAAUAUUUAGCAUAUAUCACUCUCAAAUGCUUCUACAUAAUAAUAUCACCUUAAUAAUAUCACUCUCAAAUGCUUCUACAUAAUUCCCAAAUACUUUAGCAUAUAUUCUAGCUAGGGAAGUGAUCUCUAGUUUUUUUUUUGUCCUUUAUGGAAGGUCUUAUGCAGCCAACCUCGUUUUCUAGUUGUAUGGCUUUUAGUUCUUGGUUCUUUUCCCAUGUAUUGGUCUUUUUCUCAAUCUUAUAUGCCUUCAAACGAUCCCAUUUUCCUCUGGGUUCAGCCCUAAACCCACCUUUAUACAUCACAGAUACGGAAGUGGACGCCAAGGUAAGGACAAACCUUCACCAUUCGGUUCCAAGCAGAGUGGAUUAAGAAACCAGCAAGGACAAACCCUUGGCUUUGAUUCACUCAGCCGGUGGCAGAGCCAAUAAUUUUUCUUAGAACAAGCAUUACAAUAACCCUGGAUGAAUUUUAGAAAUUGCUGAAAAUGAGUAACUUUAGACUUUAGUCAUGAAUAAAUAUAACAUAUCAAAUUAAAAAUUAAAAAUAGAUUUUAUUAACUUACUAGUUAAAAAUUGAAAUUUAAAAAGAAAAUCUUCAAAAAAGUUAAAAAAUGGGAAGAAAAUAAGAAAUCUUACUAGUUAUUUCUCAAUAAUUUUAAUAAUCUCUUCCUAGUAAAAAGGAUCUUUAAAAAAUUUAUUUUUUUUCCAAAUAGCUACAUACAAAUGAGUUGGAAGUAAUAAAAUAUUUUAUUAAUAAUUUCCUAUGAUAUAGUAAUUAUCGUUAAAAUUCCAAGUAAAAUAUAAAUAGUUAGUUAGAGUUUGAUAUUUAUUAUUAUGUAUUAAGGUACCCUAUUCUAACAAAAUUCUAGAGCACCCAAGAGGUAUUGUUUGGAAGAUUUACUAGUAAUCAUUGGAUUUUUUAUUUCAAUCUUCAUAAAGUAAUAGCAAGAACCAAAACUAAUUAAAAGAACUUGAUUAUAAGGUUUUGGUUAACAAUUUUUUUUCCAAAUAUUAUGAGGUCUACGCUAUAUAUUUUUUGAGAUUUACAUUGACCUUUGAAGAUUUGAGAUUAUCAUGAAAUCACAUUUAAAACCAUUCAAGUACAAUUGAAUUUGUUUGGGUGAAUAAUAACAUUAGAGGAUGUACUUCGAGUUUAUUGUAUGAUGAAACUCUUUUGAGCGGAAAAAAAAAACCAAUUUUGCACAUGAGUGCAUGCUUGAGACUAUUUCUGUAUAUAUUUGUCAUUUUUUAUUUGUGUUAUUGGUUGAGCUUACCAAGGUUUUCAAAGUAUAAAUAUACCUUAUUUUGUCAAAUAUUUUAAAUACAUACCAGAACAAUAUUAUCAUUAUUUCCUACACAUUUCCAUCACUUUCAAGAAUAUCAUUCUUGACACAAAUUUGUGCAUGGUGGUUAAUUAUACAUCCUAUCAAGGCAUUGAGGAGUUUACAAAAGAACAUAAUGUGUUGUAUAUAUAGAGGUGAAGACAUAUGUAAGUGCCAGCCCCUGACCUAGGAAAAUAGAAUGUUUGUUUCAUAUAAAUUUAUGUAUUUGCUCUUUCGUAUUUAAUGAAUUUACUUUGUUAGUGUCAAAUUGGGUCUGUGUUUGAUAUUUGUCGAGUUUUUAGUAGAAUGUAUGAGUGAUAUAUUUAUAGAGCUUAUAGUAAACUCUAUGGGUGAUUUUCUAUGUCUAAUACAUAUCUUUUGUGCGAUUGGAAAUCAUGCAUGUUAAUAUCAAAAUAUCUCAUAUUAAUUCAAGAAAUAUUUUUUGUGAAAAAAUUGAACUUUAAAACAUAAAAUCAUUAUUACAUAUUCACCCUCCAUAAAUAUCGGGAAUCAAGAUUCAUACUUUCAAUGGGUAUCAAAGCAUAUUGAAUUUAAAAAAUUAAAAUCUUUUAUUCCUACACAAUCUUGAUUCACGGAACCACAAGGACCAGAUCAUCAAUGAAAUUUUAUCAUUGCUUUAGUACUCGACAAUUUCUGUGGGUAGGAAUACAACUUGAGUAGGUUGGGUUGGGUUGGGUUGAUGGCGAUUUAACACAUUUGGGUUGGGUAGGAAAAUGUCUUCAUUGUUUCAGUGCUUCAACAAAGGUUUGGAAAUUCUUGUAAGAAGAUCCACCUUCAAUCACACUUUUUCUAGCCAUUUCCUUCAACUUCUCUGCAUUUGCUUUUAUACCAUCAUCAGAAACCAACUUUUCGAUCUUCUUCUUAAUCUCAUGCCUUGAUAUGAAUCCAUUUUCAUCUGGGUUCAACCCCAAGCCCACCUUCCAUUUGUCGCAUAUGUAACUCUGAUUAUGGAAUUGAUCUGCAAAGUAGGGCCAGCAUAGGAAGGGGACUCCCAUGCCUAUGGCGUCCAUGGUUGAGUUCCAUCCACAAUGGGAUAAGAAACAGGCAACAGAAGGGUGAGCUAACACCUUUUCUUGGGGUGCCCAUGAAACAAUCUUUCCAUUCUCAGCAACUCUCUCUAUGAAAUCAGGGUAUUCAGCAACUGAUCCAUCGGCGAAGUCUGAUCGGACAACCCAUAAAAAUGGCCGGCCUACAAGUUCGAGACCAAGUGCUAGUUCAUUGAAUUGGCGCUGGUUGAAGAUUGCUAAGCUGCCAAAGGCAACAUAAAUGACUGAGCCAGCAGGUUGUUUAUCGAGCCAGCCUAUGCAGGUCGAAUCCUCAUGCCAAAAGUUUCCAGCAUAAUGACCCAGAUGAUGACUUGCAAGCAAUGGACCUAUUGAUAAUAUGUUAGGAAUCAACUCACAGGCAGAUGAGUCAAGUUCGUAAACAGAGUUGCUAAGAAGCCAAUUGGAAAGAUUCAUAACUUGGAUGGCUUUGAAAGCAAGUCGGAAACAGAUCUCUUGUAAAGUUGGAUCAGUUGGGCAGCUCCAGGGCAAUCUGUUGCUGAUAAAGGCUGGGAUAUCCUUUGCCAGGCAGAUAAACUCGUGGUUCAGAAGAGAUCCUGCAAAGAUGUUUCAAUUUUAAUUGAAUUUUCAGGGGCUAUUAGCUUUAGUCUCUUAACUUGUUUUCAAUUACUAGAAAUCUUCAUGUUUCAUCAAUUUGGUAUAAGCAACAGAUUUAAUUUUAGAAAUAUGAUAUGUGCAAGUUUAAGUGUUAAUACCAUCAGUAGUAUUUAGAAGUCCGGCCUCAAUAAGCCUUGGAAUGUGAAAUGCCAAAGCCAAGCUUCCUGGUCCAAAGGGGCAAAACGCGACCCUCUUGAUCCCCAUCUUGUCGGCAACCUCUAGCGCCCACCCAAAUGCUGAAUCAGCAAUAACACAAGUGAUCUUCUCAUCAUCAUUCGAGUUGUUAACCUUCUCAAUCAACUCCUUCAAAUGACCCGGCAUGACUCUUAAAAUACUGUCUGUCAGCUUGAGUGAAUCUUUUCGAUCCUCCCCUGGACCCAGUCCAUCUGGGAUCGAGGCUAGCCCUAUCCGACUCCGAGCCUCAUCCUCAUCUGGCAGUGCAGCCACCAGUUUUUCAUGUAUGAAGUCUGAGUUAACAAAGGUGACCUUGAUCCCGUGAUCAGAAAUCUGGUACGCAAACUUCAUAAAGGGAGUAACAUGUCCUUGUGCUGGGAAUGGAAUAAUCAGCACAUGAGGUCGGCCCAUGGUUGCUGCCAGCACUUCUGCUUCCUCUGAUCCCAAGUUUCAGGAUUAAUACUGCUUCUCUUUAUUAGCCUGAGCCCUCUAUUGUGUGAAUCGUAUACCUAUUUGCUAAAAUUUUAGCUGCAGCCCAUCUCCUAUUUAUGAGUUCCAUACGUCAUCUGAAAGAUAUGGUGUUGUGGCUCAAGUUCUUUGUCACUUUGGUUUUAUCUUCUAUCUAUUUUGUCUUGAUGAAGCAUCUUGUGUGGCUCUCCCGUCACUUUGGUGUAGCUUUGAACCUAUAUUGCACUGAUAAACUUUUGGUUUCUGCAUUACAAACUCCAUAUAUGCAAUAAACUUUUUGUUGGUGCAGUCAUUGGAUUGUAGCCAUUUUUCCUACUUGGUUUUUCCACCAAGUUGCUGAUACCCUAUGGAUUUAUUCUCAAGAGCUGCAAGGUAUAUUACGAGGAAGUUAUCAUCGGUUGUUUACUUUGUCUUUAACCUACAACCUCUUAUGUAUCUAGCCUCAUUUUGUUGUUGCAUGAAUGGUUUGAGCUCUUUGUUCAUAUCCCAUGCAUGUAUUUGUUAAACAAGCUUGUAUUGAUGUUGAGCCUGAUUGAUGCUAGAUUUGGACAAUGAAGGGAAAUGAAAAUUUGGACAUGCAAUGGCUAGAUUUCACCUUAAUAGUAUUCAAUUAAUGCUUCUAUAUAAACAGUACUCCAAAUGCUUUAGCAUAUAUUCUUGGGAAGUCAUCUCUAGUUUACUUUGUUCUUUAUGUAGGGCCUUAUGCAGCUAGUCUCUUUUUCUAGUUGCAUAUAUGGUUUUGAGCUCUUGGUUCCUUUCCCUUGUAUUGAUUUUUUUUUCUCUAUCUUAUACCUUCGAAUGAUCCCGUUUUCCUCUUAGUUCAGCCCUGCAUGCACCCACCUUUGUAAAUCACAGAUAUGGAAGUGGUCGCCAAAGUAAGGACAGACCUUCAUCAUUGAGUUUCCAAGCAGAGUGGAUUAAGAAACCAGCAAGGACAAACCCUUGGCAUUGAUUCACUCAGCCGGUGGCAGAGACAAGAAUUUUUCUAACUAGAACAGAAGCAUUACAAUAACCCUGGAUGAAUUUUAGAAAUUGGUGAAAACGAGUAAUUUUAGACUUUAGUUAUCAAUAAAUAUAAUAUAUCAAAUUAAAAAUUGAUUUUAGGAUCUUACCAAUUAAAAAUUGAAACUAAAAAGGAAAUUUUUCAAAAAAGUUAAAAAAUGGUAAUAAGAUACAAAAUGUUAUUAUUUUUUUUUCUCAAUAAUUUAAUAAUCUCUUUUAAGAAAAUUAUUUUUUACCCCAAAUGACUACAUAUAAAUGAGUUGGAAGUAAUGAGAUAUUUUAUUAAUAAUUUCUUAUGAUAUAGUAACUAUCAUUAAAAUUUCAAGUAAAAUAUAAAUAGCUAGUUAGAGUUUGAUUGUUAUUAUCUAUUAAGGUACCCUAUUCUAGCAAAAUUCUCUAGCACCGAAGAGGUAUUGUUUAGAAGAUUUACUAGUAAUCAUUGGAUUUGUGAAUUCAAAAUCUAUCAAGCAAUAGGAAGACACAGAACUAACUAAAAGAACUUGACUACAAAGUUGUAGUUGACAAUUAUUUUUUCCCCAAAUAUUAUGAGAUCUCUAAGUAUUUUUUUGAGAUUUACAUUGGCCUUUGAAAAAAUGAAAUUAUCAUGAAAUCAUAUUUAAGACCAUUCAAGUAAGUAUGAUUGAGCUUGUUGGGGUGAAUAAUAAUAUUAAAUGAUGUACUUUGAGUUUAUUGUAUGAUGAAACUCUUUUGAGCGGAAGAAACCAAUUUUGCACAAGUGUUUGAAAUUAUUUUUUAUUUUUAUUUUUGUCAUUUUUCAUUUGUGUGUUAUUGGUUGAGCUUGCUAGGGUUUUCUAAGUAUAAAUAUACCUUAUUUUGUCAAAUGUUUUAAAUACAUAUUAGAACAAUCAUUAUUUCCUAUGCAUUUCCAUUUUUUUUUUGAUAAGUAAAAGAAGUAUAUUAAACGAAAAGAGGAAACACAAAAAAUCGGUGCCCUCUAAGUAUACAGGGAGUAUACACACCACCUUUCCUAACUAGGAGCCUAUCCAGUCUAUAAAACUUACAAGAGAAGAAUGACUCUCUGCUAGGGAACCCCUGACCCAAUACCAAAGAUUACAUACAAAAGAAUAUUUCAACCUCUGAAGCGAAAGGUCCUCAUCCCCAAACGCUAACCUAUUUCUCUCCUUCCAAACUGUCCAAAAAAUACAUAACGGCGCCAUUUGCCAAGCCUUCUUGCGUCUUUUUCCCACAAACCCUCCAUUCCACUCAAGAAGGGUUGCCUUCACUGAACACGAGAGAGUCCAAGAUAUACCAAAAAGAGAGAAAAGAAGGUUCCAUAGGACCCGUGUCUUGAUACAAUGCAGUAGGAGGUGAUCCACUGUUUCUUCUUCAGAUAAACAGAGGAAGCACCUAUUUGCCAAAGAGAACCCCCUCCUUUGAAGUUGCUCCUGAGUUAAAACUUUGCCCCAAGAAGCCUCCCAAGCAAAGAAAGCUACCUUGGGAGGCACUCUUGCCCUCCAAAUUCUAUCACUAGGAAACAAAGAAAGACCCCCCGGUUCCAUCAUAGAAUAAAGGGAUCUAACUGAGAAGACCCCAUCCUUUGAAGCUGUCCAUAUCACUCUAUCUUCCUCCUCCCUUUGAACCCUGAAAGCUUGGAUCUUCUGCAACAACCGUUCCAACAAAAUAAUCUCCCAAUCGUUAAACGCCCUUGCAAAGAGAGGAGUCCAGCCAAUCCCAUCACCAACCGGAUUCCACACAUCCGAAACCCAAGCAUUCUUUGACAUGGAUAUGGAAAAAAGAGAAGGGAAAGACUCACAAAGAGGCCCAUCUCCACACCACUUGUCUUUCCAAAAUUUCACUCUUUGCCCAUUACCCAAAUGAAAGGCUACCCUGCCGUCAAAAAGCCCCCACUUCUUCCUAAUUGCUUUCCAAAGCCCAACUCCAUUUCUUCCCAACACAUCCCGAGUACUCCACCCCCUUCCUCUACGCCAUACUUUAGACUAAUUACACUCCUCCACAAUGCAUCUCUCUCAUUAGCAAACCUGCAAUUCCACUUACACAAUAGGGCGUUAUUCAUCAAAGAUAAAUUUCUCACCCCUAGACCACCUUUUCUUUUCUCCAAACAUAUCAAGUUCCAUCUUACAAGGUGAGGUUUAUAGGCUAAAGUUCCCCCACCCCACAGAAAAUCCCUCUAAAUUUUCUCCAGUCUCAUCCUUACUUUUCUAGGCAAGUGAAAUAGAGACAUCAAAUAAAUAGGCAUGCUGGACAUAGUGCUUCUGAUUAGGGUGAGUCUACCCCCUUUAGAUAUGUACUGCUCUUCCACAUAGCAAGCCUUCUACGAAAACGCUCUUCAACCCCAUUCCACACCGCCAAAGAAUUGAAAGCUGCCCCAAGGGGCAUUCCCAAAUAACUAGAGGGAAAACCUCCCACUUUACACCCCAACUCCAAAGCCAAACCCUCUAUAUUCAGCACCCUUCCAACCGGGAUUAUCUCACUCUUCUCUAAAUUAAUCCUCAACCCCGAACAGGCCUCAAACCACAUGAGGAGCCAACUUAGAUAUGUCAUCUCGUCUGGAGAGUCCUCACAAAAGACUAACGUAUCAUCCGCAAACAACAAAUGCGAUAUAUGCAUCCCCUCACCCCUCCCACCACUCACUUUCCACCCAGCUAAGUAACCCCCACUAAUCGCCCUUCUCAUCAUACUACUAAAAACCUCCAUGGCAAUCACAAACAAAUAAGGGGAAAGGGGAUCUCCUUGUCUUAGCCCCCUCGUGCUUUGGAAAAAACCGGAUGGAGACCCAUUGACUAACAAGGAAAAUUUCACUGUGGAAAUGCACCAAUCAAUCCACUUUAUCCAUCUCUCUCCAAACCCCAUCUCUUUAAGAACGGCCAACAAAAAACUCCAGCUAACAUGGUCAUAAGCCUUCUCUAUAUCCAACUUGCAUAACACCCCUCCCACAUUGUCUUUCAACCUUGAGUCCACAGCCUCGUUUGCAAUCAGCACUGCAUCCAAAAUCUGUCUACCCUCCACAAAGGCAUUUUGAGACUCUGAAAUCACUUUCCCCAUAACCUUUUUAAUUCUGUUGGCCAACACCUUGGCCAGCAACUUGUAGAGGCUACCUACAAGGUUGAUGGGCCUGAAGUCUUUCAAGUCUUCAGCUCCUCCCCUCUUUGGGACUAGUACAAGGAAAGUUGCAUUAAGAGAUUUUACAAAUCUACCCCUCUCAUGAAAUUCCUUGAAGAAUCCCAUUAUUUCAGCCUUUACUAAAUCCCAACUGAACGACCAGAAGGCCAUGGUGAAGCCAUCCGGGCCGGGGGCCUUAUCCUUGCCUAGAUCUGAAAGUGCCACGAACACCUCCCCUUCCGAAAAGGGAAUUUCCAGCCCCUCAGCCUCACAGUUGUUUAAUCUCAAGAAGGGCAACCCCUCAAUACCAGGACGCCAUCCUCCUUCUUCAGAGUACAGAUUAUUAAAAGCACCCACCACACUAUUUUUUAAUUCUAACUCCUCCGUAUGCCAACAAUCAUCCACUUUCAGCCUUGACAACCAGUUUCUUCUACUAUGCGCGUUCGCCAUCCUAUGAAAAAAUUUGGUAUUAUUGUCCCCCUCCUUCAACCACAAUUCCCUUGAUCUCUGUCUCCAAGAAAUUUCUUCCCUCAGCACCCAUGUCUUAUAAGCCUCCUGAGCCUCCUUCCUUGCUUCACAAUCCUCCAGACUCAGAGUUGAAUGAUUCUCCACUGUAUCCCAGUACACCACCUGGCUGAGAGCUUCUCUCUUCUUAGUCUCAAUUACCCCAAAAACUUCUUUGUUCCAAGUCUUUAAUAGCCCUUUUAAGGCUUUUAAUUUUGCAUCCAGGACAAAACUAAGAGACCCAGUAAAAGAUAAACUGCCCCACCAGCUCUUCAACUGAUCCAUGAAUCCCCUUUCCUCCAACCACAUAUUCUCAAAUCUGAAUGGUGACGGGCCCCUCUUCAAACCUCCAUCCUCAAGAAGAAUAGGAGAAUGAUCAGAGACUGGUCUAGCAAGAAUCCCCUGCAUGGCUCCAUUGAACAUUCUGUCCCACUCAUCCGUAACCAAGAACCUGUCAAGCCUAGAUUGAGACUGGUUGUUUAACCCCCCUCGCCAAGUAAAGAGACCCCCCUGUAAGGGGUAGUCCCUUAGCUCCAAAUCCUCUACCACUUCAGUAAAUCUUUUCAUUGAAGCAGAUAACUCACCUCCCCUGCUACGCUCUUCCGGGUAUCUAAUCAUAUUAAAGUCUCCCCCCACACACCAAGGGUCUCUCCAUAACCCUUUUAUUGAUCCAAGCUCCUCCCAAAAAACCUCUCUAUCCCUUCUACACACCGGCCCAUAAACACCAGUGAAGACCCACCUCAUCCCAUCCAUACAAUUCUUGAACAGACAUGACACUGAAAAAAUCCCUUCUUCCACCUCCAACAAAUCAACCACUCUGUUGUCCCAAAACACCAGAACACCUCCAGCUGCCCCCUUAGAGUUAAUUGCUCUCCAGUCAAUAUGUCUUCCCACCCCAAGGCUACGAACAAUCCCCGUACUCAUGUCCUUGAUUUUUGUCUCCUGCAAACACACCACGUCCACCUUGUUGGAUUUUAUUACAGACUUAAUGAUUUUCCUCUUCUCAUUAUCAUUUGCCCCUCUAACAUUCCAAGAUAAGAUCUUUAUCUUCAUUUAAUCCCUGAUCCUGAAUCCCCUCCAAAUUUGCCUUCAUUGGAAGCCAGCUUGGCUCUUUUAUAGCUUACUGUCCAUUCCAGCUUCUUUAAUUCCCUAAUGGAUUUUGUGACAGAAGACUUUGUCUUUUUAUUCUCCCUACCCUGAUUUUUCUUUUCAAUUCUCCCCUUCAUUCUUCUCAACAGGUAUAGAAUCUCCUCCUCAAACCCAACUGUCGGCAUGCCCAAGCAGUGACUGAAUUUCGCAAGGCAGCUGGAGCUCCAUACUUCCUCUUCGUCCCCCACUUCCACCUGAAGGGCCAUCGUCUCCACUAAUGGGCUUUCUAAAACCCCUCCAAAAGGAACAAUGGCUAAAUCAGUCCCAUUUGCCUCAUCACCCGACGCUCGCGGAGACAUGUUUCCAUCUUCGUGAACCGAGAGGUCCCUGUUCCUUUCUUCUUCCACGGCCCCAAACAAACCACUGAUCACUCCCACUUUCCCCACCGCAGCGCCAUCCGACCCUAAGAAAGGAGAAGAAGGAGAAAAAGCCCCACACCCCAAAGAGAAAUUAGGGGAUUUUAGUUUACGGGGGUACCUGGAAGCCUCGUUCAACAGCGCGUCGUCAGCGGGCUUCCGAUGGCCGAGGGAAGGCUCCAUGCCGCCGACGCAACUCGCGACCAACAUCUCCUGCUCCAGCUCCGUAAGGAUCCCGACAGACUCGGGGUGAGCCCUAUAAGGGACGGGCUCCCUUAAAAGGUCCAAAUGGGCCUCAGGAUUAAAAAGCCCAGAAAGCUCCUCAAUCCCCUUAGUCCAACCCGUCAAUUUGGGGCAGAGAGGGGGCGGGCCUUCGGCCCAACCCAUACCUUCCUUAGAAAACAGCCCUCCAUCCCCUUUUAAAAAAGCCCCACUGCCAGUCUUGGGCCCAGGCCCACUCCCUGAGCAGCCCACUGCAGAGUCAACAAACUCCCUGCCCCAUUCUUUGCCAUCCAUCCUGCUUGUUCUGCCACACGCCACCUUCACUUCAGUCUCCCUUUUUUGAAAAUCUGCUUUGGGCUCCCGUACUCUAGAUUCAGCGCGUGAGGCUCCCCCACCUUCAUCCCUAACCUCCCACUCACUUCUUCUCUGCAUCCGCAAGCAUGACCCAUCCUGCAACACCCUCGGAAUGGCUUCCCACCACAAGCAAAGUUCCCACCUAGUGUUACCAGCCUCCACCUCCAUUGUUCCAGGCCUUUUCAUUCCCGAAUUUUUAACCAAAAUCCGAGCCCACUGCAGCUAAGAGAAGAGGGUCGUGUCCUCAUCCACAGCUACAAACCCUCCACAGCAGUCUCCAAUGCUCUUGAAGACCUCCCUACUCCACAGAUGAAGAGGAAGGCCUACAACUCUUACCCACACUUCCUGGCUCUCUUUCCAAGUGCACCCCACUACCGGUCCCCACCUUUGCAAUAGAAACUCUCUGUCCUUAAUACGUCUGCUCCCUCUAAGAAGCACCAUAUCAGCUUCCCAUUUGUUUUGAAACACAAACAACACCAGGGCCCCACCCAACCUGAAUAUUCUUAUCUCCCCUUUCAGUAACCAAACCUCAUACGCCCAUCUCUUCAAAGAAGGCAAUGACGGGAUAGACUCAGAACUACCACCGAAACAACCCACCAGGCAAUGCCCAAGCUGUUCCUCCCUAUACAUUAUUGCCUUUUCCCCUAGGUUCACCCUCAUAGACUCCACUGGCAUACCUUUCUUCCCUUUAACUACUUCUGCAUACGAACCUGACCCUUUCUCUGAGGUAUUGGCAUUGCUCUCCUCCUUACCCAUGGACGGCACACUCUGGAAGCUAAUCCUCCCUUCUGUGGAAGAGACCCCAAGAGCCCUCAAAUUCUUAGCCAGCAAGAACCAUCCCCCUACUAAGCCACUUCCCUCAGGAAAAACUAGACAGAACUUUUUCCUUUUCGCAUCUCUGACCGAGCAGAGCAAAAAUCUCCCAGCCGCAUUAGAACGACAUUCUAGACUGAAUUUUCUUGCUCCUUCAUCCCAAACUUUUAAAAGCUUCGAGGUAGACUCUCCUCUGCACCAAGCUUCCACACCUUCCAACAGAAGGCUUAAGCCUUUUUCUCCAAAUCUUAUCCAGGAGGAGAGACCUUUGCUCCUUUCCCAGAUGGUUCCUCUUAGCCUUCCUCUGAUCUCUUCAAUGGAUAUUUUGAAAGACUUGGAUUCAACGGCAAACCAACUCUUACCUCCCUUCGGAAACCCAUGGGAGUCCCUCACUCCCAUGCUGAUGAAUUUUCUCUCACACUCAUAAAGAAAAGGGCAAAACACAACAAGACGAAAAACCCUAGGCUUCUUCCAUCACUCUCAAGAACCUCAUUGUUGACAUAAAUUUGUUUAUGGUGGUUAAUUACAUCCCAUCAAGGUAUUGAGAAGUUUACGAAGGAGUGUAAUGUGUUGUGCAUGGAUGUGAAGACAUGUGAAAGUGUCAACUGUGUCAGACACAGACCUAGGAAAACAGAACUUCUGUUUCAUGUAAACUUAUGGUUUUAUAUUUGUAGAGUUUUUAGUAGAAUUUAUGGGUGAUAUAUUUGUAGAGCUUUUGGUAAACUCUGUCGGUGAUUUUCUAUGUCUAAUACAUGUCUUUUGUGUGGUUAGAAUUCAUGUUAAUAUCUAAAUAUUUCAUAUUAAUCGAAGAAAAUAUUAUUUGUGAAAAAUUGAACUUUAAGACGUAAAAUAAUUAUUACCUUUUCACCCUUCAUAAAUUUCAGGAAUCAAGAUUCAUACUUUCAAUUGGUAUCAAAGCAUAUUGAAUCUAAAAAAUUAAAAUCUUUAAUCCCUACAUAACAUAGAUUCAUGGAACCACAAUGAGCAGAUCAUCUAUGAAAUUUUUAUCAUAGCUGUUGAAGGCUGCGUUACCAAGACCACUUCAAUUUCCUGAUGUACUCGCCUCUUCAACUGAAGAUGAUGCUUCCUUCUUUUGACCUACAAAAGAUGUUCGGACAGGAGGUCCGGACACACCCUCCGAUACUUUUAUUAGUUUUGCUCUCUAGCAUAUUGAUAUUUUUUAUGGGGCCCUUCUCCUUAGGAAUCCCUUCCCUUCUUUGACUGUGUGGGGGCCUUUUAUAGUGCUAGGAGUUUUGUCUCUUUAAAUGGUGGGAAGACUUUUUGGCUGUCAUGAUGGUGCUUAGAGGGUGACAGAGCCAUCAUUAUCCUGCAGGCGGCUGUCAGAGAUUGCUGGAUGGAUGAGUUGCCGUCAUCCUUGUCUUUUCACUCUGUAGGCGGCGCAGGGUAGGUCGUGGCAGGUCGCCUGAAGUGACCCAGGAAGGUCAUGUUGAGCAUGCUUUUGGUAAAAUGAGUAAUGAUUGCCCGCAAGACACAGUCAAGAAUCUUGUUUGAGACGUUAGCCACUGGGUUCGGAUUGGACAUCCGGACAGGGGGGUAUGCAUCGCAUGUCAGUCCACGUGAUAGUCCGGACAGAGGGUUGGAUGUGCCAUGUGUCAGUCCAUGUGAACAUCUGGACAGGGGGUUGGAGUGCCACGUGUCCAAUGGAGGAGUGCCUUGUGAGGCCACCACGUGUACGCUUAGGGGUGGUCCCUACAAUAGCUUGUCUCAAUAAUCUCAACACCUAAUUUUCAUGUUUCUUUAAUGAAGUCUAGAAUAUAAUUUCUGUCAGUAGGAAUACAGUUUGAGUAGGUUGGGUCGGGUUGAUGGCGAUUUAACACAUUUGGAUAUAGUAGCAACGGGAAACAUCUUCAUUGUUUCAUUACUUCAACAAAGGUUUGGAAAUUCUUGUAAGAAGAUCCACCUUCACUCACACUCUUUCUAGUCAUUUCCUUCAACUUCUCUGCAUUUGCUUUUAUAACAUCAUCAGAAACCAACAUUUCGAUCUUCUUCUUAAUCUCAUGCCUUGAUAUGAAUCCAUUUUCAUCUGGGUUCAACCCCAAGCCCACCUUCCACUUGUCGCAUAUGUAACUCUGGUUAUGGAAUUGAUCUACAACGUAGGGCCAGCAUAGGAAGGGGACUCCCAUGCCUAUGCCGUCCAUGGUUGAGUUCCAUCCACAAUGGGAUAAGAAACAUGCAACAGAAGGGUGAGCUAAAACUUUUUCUUGGGGUGCCCAUGAAACAAUCUUUCCAUUCUCAGCAACUCUCUCUAUGAAACCAUCAGGGUAUUCAGCAUCUGAUCCAUUGGUGAAGUCUGAUCGGACAACCCAUAAAAAUGGCCGGCCUACAAGUUCAAUACCCAGUGCUAGUUCAUUGAAUUGGUGCUGGCUUAAGAUCGCUAGGCUUCCAAAGGCAACAUAAAUGACUGAGCCAGCAGGUUGUUUAUCGAGCCAGCUUAUGCAAGUUGAAUCCUCAGGCCAAAAGUUUCCAGGAUAAUGACCCAGAUGGUUAUUUGCAAUUAACGGGCCUAUUGGUAAUAUGUUGGGAAUCAAGUCACAAGCAGAUGAGUCAAGUUCGUAAACGGAGUUGCAAAUAAGCCAAUUGGAAAGAUUAAUAGCUGAGAUGUCUUUGAAAGCAAGUCGGAAAAUGACCUCUUGUAAGGUUGGAUCACUCGGGCAGCUCCACGGCAAUCUGUUGCUGCUAAAGGCUGGUAUAUCCUUUGCCAGGCAGAUCAACUCGUCGUUCAAAAGAGAUCCUGCAAAGAUAUUACAAUUAUUAAUUUCCAUCAAAACCAAGAAAAUACUUAGCUACUUCCCCCGAUUUUUAUUGAAUUUUCAGGGGCUAUUAGCUUUAGUCUCUUAACUUGUUUUCAAUUACUAGAAAUCUUCAUGUUUCAUCAAUUAGGUAUAAACAACAGAUUUAACUUUAGAAAUAUGAUAUGUGCAAGUUUAAGUGUUAAUACCAUCAGUACUAUUUAGAAGUCCGGCCUCAAUAAGCCUUGGAAUGUGAAAUGCCAAAGCCAAGCUUCCUGGUCCAAAGGGGCAAAACGCGACCCUCUUGAUCCCCAUCUUGUCGGCAACCUCUAGCGCCCACCCAAAUGCUGAAUCAGCAAUAACACAAGUGAUCUUCUCAUCAUCAUUCGAGUUGUUAACCUUCUCCAUAAACUCCUUCAAAUGACCCGGCAUGACUCUAAAAAUACUGUCUGUCAACUUGAGCGAAUCUUUUCGAUCCUCCCCCGGACCCAGUCCAUCUGGGAUCGAGGCUAGCCCUAUCCGACUCCGAGCCUCAUCCUCAUCUGGCAGUGCAGCCACCAGUUUUUCAUGUAUGAAGUCUGAGUUAACAAAGGUGACCUUGAUCCCAUGAUCAGAAAUCUGGUACGCAAACUUCAUAAGGGGAGCAACAUGUCCUUGUGCUGGGAAUGGAAUAAUCAGCACAUGAGGUCGCCUGCCCAUGGUUGCUGCCAACACUUCCACACACUUCUGCUUCCUCUGAUCCCAAGUUUCAGGAUUAACACUGCUUCUCUUUAUUAGCCUAAGCCCUCUAUUGUGUGAAUCGUAAACCUAUUUGCUAAAUUUUAGCUGCAGCCCAUCUCCUACACAUGAAUUUCAUAUAUUAUCUGAAAGAUACGGUGUUGUGGCUCAAGUUCUUUGGCACUUUAAUUGGUUUUGUCUAGAUCCUACCUAUUUUGUCUUUAUGAAGUGUCUUGUGUGGCUCUCGGUUACUUUGGUUUAAUUUUAAAACCUAAAUUGCACUGAUAAACUUUUGGUUUCUGCAUUACACACUCCAUAUAUACAAUAAACAUUUUGUUGGUGCAGUCAUUGGAUUGUAGCCAUUUUUUCUACUUGGUUUUUCCACCAAGUUGCUGAUACCUCGCUGUGUAUUUUAUUCUCAAGUGCUUCAAGGUAUAUUACGAGGAAGUUAUCAUUGGUUGUUUGCUUUGUCUUCACCUACAACCCCUUAUGUAGCUAGCCUCCUUUUGUUGUUGCAUGAAUGGUUUGAGCUCUUUAUUCUCAUCCCAGCAUGUAUUUAUUAAACAAGCUUGUAUUUUUGUUGAGCCUGAUUGAAGCUAGAUUUGGACAAUGAAGGGAAAUGAAAUUUUGGACAAUGGCUAGAUUUCACCUUAGUAGCAUCACUCUCAAUUAAUUCUUCGAUAUAAACAUUACUCCAGAUGCUUUAGCAUUUAUUCUUGGGAAGUCAUCUCUAGUUUAUAACUUUGUCCUUUAUGUAGGGCUUUAUGCGGUCUCUUUCUCUAUGGUUUUGAGCUCGUGGUUCUUGUCCCUUGUAUUGAUUCUUUUUCUCUAUCUUAUACCUUCAGAUGAUUCCAUUUUCCUCGAGUUCAGCAGACGCUUUAGAAUAUAUUUUUGGGUAGUCAUCUCUAGUUUACUUUGUCCUUUGUGUAGGCCUUUAUGCAGCUAGUCUCUUUCUCUAGUUGUAUAUAUGGUUUUGAGCUCUUGGUUCUUUCCCCUUGUAUUGAUUCUCUUUCUCUAUCUUAUACCUUCAGAUGGUCCCAUUUUCCUCUGAAUCAGCAGAUGCUUUAGCAUAUAUUCUUGGGUAGUCAUCUCUAGUUUACUUUGUCCUUUAUGUAGGGCUUUAUGCUUGUCUCUUUCUCUAUGGUUUUGAGCUCUUGGUUCUUUUCCCUUGUAUUGAUUUUUUUUUUCUCUAUCUUAUACCUUCAGAUGAUCCAAUUUUCCUCUGAGUUCAGCCCUACACCCACCUUUGUAAAUCACAGAUAUGGAAGUGGUCGCCAAAGUAAGGACAAACCUUCAUAAUUGAGUUCCAAGCAGAGUGGAUUAAGAAACCAGCAAGGGCAAACCCUUGGCAUAGAGAGCUAUGGUUUAUUAAGCUACAAAUAAUCCUGGAUGAAUUUUAGAAAUUGCUGAAAGCUACAAAUAAUUUUUGAAUUUCUUUUAAUUUUUUUUUAAAAUUUUUUUAUUAAGCAAAAAAUUUCAAAUCAAACUAUACUUGAUACAUAAAAUUUAUUAAUUUUUAAAAUAAUUUGAAACUAAAAAAACCAAUUUAAUUGUUAGUUCUAGAAAGUCAUGGAGCUUAAUAAUAUUAAAGAGUCAUUGAGUAAAAUUUAUUUUGAAUGAAUUGGCUAAUUUAUUUUAUUUUUGCAUAUAAUCAUACUUUAUAAAUUUUGUUCAUUAAACAAAUAUACUCUAAGAGGGUGUUUGUUUUUUUGGCUUUUUGCUUAAAGCAAUUUGUUUUGAGAAUUUAGGUUAUUUGGUUUUCUAUUUUUUCACGACUUAUUAUAAAUUUUUUGCUGAAUAAAAAAAAUCAAAAUAUUUAGUUUUUUCUAAAUAGAAAAUAUAACAUAUUAGUUUUUCUUUAUUUUUUAAUACUAAAUAGAAAUAAAAUACUACAAAAACAAAUAACUUAAUACUUAACACUAUUAAACAUUAAAGUUCUAUUUAGAAUUAAGUAAAAAAAAAACAUCACCUAAAUUAAGAAAUAUUUAAUGCAUUAGAAUCGUUACUAAGCAUAUAAAUUUUUUAAAAUAACUUGAAACUCAAAAAGUGAAUCAAUUAACAUGAAAAUUUUAUGAACAAAAGUUGGCCUAAAAUGACUAUUAUUGCUCUUCUAUGUAGAAUCAUAUUCUUCAAAUUUUUCAUUGAAAAAUAAACUUUAAAUUAAGCAAAUUAAAACUUGAUGUGUUAGAUUUAUUAAUGAGUGUAAUAAUUUAAGCAAAAAAUAAUUUGAAACUCAAUCAGUGACCAACUAAUACAAAAAAUUUAUAGACAAAAAUUGGUCCAUAAUGACUAUUAUUAUUAUUACUAUUAUUUUGACAUGUAAUGAUAUUUUUAUGAAUUUUAUUAUUAGAGAAAUGAACUUCAAAAUAAAACUACACUAUGUAUUGAAUUUAAUAAUUUGAAACUACUAAAAUAGAUCUAUCCACUACAAAAACUAAUAGGUCGAAACUAAUAGAUUAUAAGUUAUGACUUUACUUUUUAUCCUCUAAUAUUUUAUGAAUUUUCUCACUAGGUGAAUACAUUCUAAAUUUAGUGAGACAUAAUUAAUAAUUAAUUUAAAUUUUUUUUAUGAAUCUUUUAAUUUUUAAGAAUAAUUUUGAAUUCAAAAAAUAAAGCCAAUUAAUUACAAAUUAAAUCAAAAUAUUUAAAACUUUGUCCACAAUUAUAUACUACACAUGCACAUCUAACGAAAACUUUGCUCAUUUAUAUAUUAAAAAAUUAAAAAUUAUUUUUUAAAAUAAAAUAUUAUUAAUAAUUAUUAUUUUUAAAUUAUAAUUGUUCUUUUUUUCUUUUUUCUUUUUAAAUGAUUAUGCUUAAGAUGUUAAUCUUCACAUUUUUAUAACAUAUACUAAAAUAAUAUUUUUAUAAAAAAAUAUAAUUUGUGAUUUUAGUAUAAUAUUAUUAUUUAUAAUUUACUAAAACUAUUUAUUUUUUUAAUUUAUCUGUAUUUACAAAACUAUUUUUAAUUUUUAUAAAACUUCAAUUAAAUUUAAUUAAUAUAAUUAAUAUCAGUGUUUUAAAAACCGAACUUAAUCUGUGACCAUCAACCGAGGACCAAACCGGUUUGGUCUACCUAUUGAACCAUUUGACAAUUGAACCGUCCGCGAACCGGCGGAGCCACGAUUGAACCGGUGAACCAGGCGGUUUGCCAUAAACCGAACAGUUCUUUGGUUAAUAUUUUUUUCAUUUUUAAAUCCAAGACAGAUGCAUUUUGCACGGAAAUGAAAAGCCCUAACCCCUCUCCCCUUUGCCCCCAUGCCCAACCGUCCCUUGCCCUCUCCAGGAGCCUUCCUCAGCCCCCCACCUUCGGCACCUCUAGCCAGCAGGCUUGCGCCGACACCGACGCCAAUGGAAGACAGUGACGCCGAUGGACGAAUGCGACGUCGACGACUCCACUGACUGGAGUUGUAAAUGUUGUUUGGCUUCCUUGUUUACUAUUUAAAUAUUUAUCAUUUGAUUUAUCUAAUUAUUUUAUUUGAUAUUUGUAUUAUUUUUAAUUUCUAAUUUUUGGAAAUUCUGAUUUUUAAAUAUGUUAUUUUAUAUUUAUGAUUUUAAUUUUUAAAUUUAUGAAUUUAAAUUUCUUAAUUUCGAUUUAAAUCAUUUUAUUUAUUUGAAAAUAAAUUUUUGGUUUUAAAAUAAGUUUUUGGUUUAAAAAUAAAUUUAAAUUUUUUUAAUUUUAAAAUAAAUAUAUGAUUUUCAAAUAAAUUCUGAUUUUUUAAAUUUGUGAUUUUAUAUUUAUGAAUUUAAAUUUCUGAAUUUGAUUUGAAUCAUCUUAUUCAUUUAAGAAUAAAUUUUAUGAUCUUAAAAUAAAUAUCUAAUUUUCAAAUAUAUUUUCUAUUAUCAAACAUAUUUUUGACUUUUAAAUAAAUAUAUGAUUUUAUAAAAAAUUUAUGAUUUUUUAAAAUUCUAAUAUUUUGAAUUUAUGUUUUCAAUUAUCAAUUGAAUUUAUGAUAUUAUUAUUAUUUUUAAUAUUUUUUUAAUUUUAAUAAUAUAUAUACAUAAUAUAUAUUAUAUAUUUAUGAUGUCACCUAUUCAAUCGCGGUUCAACACCAAUCCAAUUCAUGAUUCAUGAACCGAUAACUUUUCUAAUUUAAUGACCAAUCCGAUUCUGAAAACAUUAAUUAAUAUUACAUAAAUUGAAUUUAUAAUAUUUUUAAAAAUAACUUGCCAAACACCCCUAUUUUUAUAAAAUACUAAAAAGUUAUUUUUUGCUCUUUUAACAACAGUUUUUAAAGAUAAACAUUACAAAACAUGGCUAAACGGCCCUUAGCUCCUGGGUUUCAGCAAAAGAUUCAAAACAGCGCCAUCUUGUGGCCUCCGUCAACAUGUUUUGUUGCCCAAUUUUUGUGUAAGCUCUAAAUAAUGCUGCUUUCGAUUUUCAAUUGCUCUGUUCGUGCACUUUUUUUAUAUGUUGCCAUGUAGACAACAGUAUAGUUCUUGAUCCCCCAAUCAUACAUAAUUCUUUGCUCCACUACUAAUGCAUUACAUCAAUAUCUGUCAUUAAUUAACUCUACCACACAAAUUUCAUGCAGCAAUUGCCAUGAUUUUUGUUCACUAAGAUCACAUACCAACCCCUGCACAUGCAUACACAACAUGAAUGCAUUCGCUUUUAUUGAGAGAAUGGUUUCACACAUUUGAAUGUGGCAACAUUGGGAAGCAUCUUCAGAGUUUCAUUGCUUCAAUAAAGGUUUUGAAAUUCUUGUAAGAAGAUCCGCCUUCGCUUACACUCUUUCUAGUCAUUUCCUUCAACUUCUCUGCAUUUGCUUUUAUACCAUCAUCAGAGACCAACUUUUCGAUCUUCAUCUUAAUCUCAUGCCUCGAUAUGAGUCCAUUUUCAUCUGGGUUCAACCCCAACCCCACCUUCCAUUUGUCGCAUAUGUAAUUCUGGUCAAGGAAUUGAUCUCCAACGUAGGGCCAGCAUAGGAAGGGGACUCCCAUGAUUAUGCUGUCCAUGGUUGAGUUCCAACCGCAAUGGGAAAAGAAACAUGCAACAGAAGGGUGAGCUAAAACCUCUUCUUGGGGUGCCCACGAAACAAUCUUUCCAUGGUCAGCUACUCUCUCAAUGAAACCAUCAGGGUAUUCAGCAGCUGACCCAUCGGUGAAGUCUGAUCGGACAACCCAUAAAAAUGGCCGCCCUACAAGUUCAAUACCAAGUGCUAAUUCAUUGAAUUGGUGCUGGGUUAAGUUUCCGGUGCUGCCAAAAGCAACAUAAAUGACUGAGCCAGCAGGUUGUUUAUCGAGCCAGCCUAUGCAAGUUGAAUCCUCAGGCCAAAAGUUUGCAGCAUAAUGACCCGGAUCACGACUUGCAGGUAACGGGCCAAUUGGUAAUAAGUUAGGAAUCAAGUCACAAGCAGAUGAGUCAAGUUCGUAAACACAGUUGCAAAGAAGCCUCUUGGAAGAAUUCAUAAAUUGAAUAGAUGUGAGAUAAAUUCGGAAAACCCACUCUUGUACCUUCAGAUCAAUUGGCCACUUCCAGGGCAAGCCGUUGCAGCUCAAGACUGGAAUACCCUUCGACACGCAGAUCAACUCAUCUUUCAGAGGAGUUCCUGCAGAGAUAUUUGAAUCAUUUCUAUCAAAACCAAGAAAUUUCUUAGACAACAAGUUAAUUUUAGAAAUAUGAUAUAAAUUAACAAGUUGAAGCCUUAAUACCAUCAGUACUAUUUACGAUUCCGGCCUCAAUUAGCUUUGGAAUAUGAAGUGCCAAAGCCCAGAUUCCUGCUCCCAUAGGACAAAAAAGGACCCCUUCGAUUCCCAUCUUCUCUGCCACCUCCAUUGGCCACCGCUCAAGUGUUAUGUCAGCAAUAACACAAGUGAUCUGCUCAUCAUCAUUCGAGCGGUUGACUUUCUCAAUUAAAUCCUUCAAAUGACCCGGCAUGACUCUUGAACUACUUUCUGUUAUCUUGAGCAAGUUUUUCCGAUCGUCCCCUGGAUCCAGACCAUCUGGGAUAGAGGCUAGCCUUAUCCCACUCUGAGCCUCAGCCUCAUGUGGGAGUGCAGCCAGCAGUUUAGCAUGUAUGAAGUCAGAGUUAACAAAGGUGACCUUGAUCCCGUGAUCAGAAAUCCGGUUUGCAAGCCUCAUAAGAGGAGCAACAUGUCCUUGCGCUGGGAGUGGUAUAAUCAGCACAUGAGGUCGCCUGCCCAUGGUCCUUGCUAACUUGCCAACACUUCCACCCUUCUCUUUGCUCUGAUCCCAAGCUUCACUAAUACUGAUACUGUUUUAUUAUCCUGAGCCCUCCUUGGAACUGUAUUUAUGAAAUUGAGGUGCAAAACUUUUUUCCCUUUCAAAAAACAAAGGGAAUAUGAAGUCCUCGCUAGCCUUUUUAACAAUGAAAACUAGUGGAAGUUCACCGACACCAGGUCUGGAAAACCCUCGUCUCAGAAAUGCAAGGAAAGGGAAGAACGUGAAGAAUUUGAAGACCUUCACACUUGGAUCAACCCUUGUUUUCUUCUUUUCUCCUCACCUUUCACCUUUCACUCUCAACCGUCUGCCCACACAUGCUUCCACAUAGCCCUAGCUGCUGCAUUAUUGGCCUUAGAAACCAGCCGCCAGACCAGCCCAACAUGUGGGUUUGAAAAAAAUACUUUCCUGAGCUGGAACCCAUAUAUGGGCAAGCCCAACAAAGUCCAUCUCUGAUUUAUGAAUUUAUUUUAUUACCUCAAAGCUAUAGGUUUGUGGGUCUGGCCCACACUUAUUGUGGUGUAAUCUCCUAUGUGGUUAAUUUGUCUUUAUAGUGUCUUCUAUGGCUCUGGAAGCAUAUUUAAGAAUUUCAUUUAGUUGGCUGCGUUUCAUCUCACAGUUUUAUGACUGUUAACGUUUAAGACAAAUACGUAUCUCUGUUGUGAGUAAGCUUUUCAGGCAGUGUCCUGGAAAACUAAUAGAAUUUGGAGGACUGUCUGAUUGAUCCUAAAGAAUUUUAGCUGAGUACAAAUGAAAUGUGGAAUUUCCAUUAUUCUAAGUUUUAAACUUAUAUUUCACUUAACAACCUUUUUUUUUCCUGCAUUACCACCUCAUAUUGGAUUGUAGCCAUCUUUUCUGUCAGUUUUUUCUUCUUUUCCAGUGUUGCUGAUGCAUCAAGAUAUAUAUCUUUUGUUUUAUAUGAUGAGGAAGUCAUCAUUACGUUUUUCCUUCGUCUUUUUUACAUACAAACUCUGAUGUAGCUUGAAUCUCUUGUCUUUUGCAUCAUCAGCUGUAUUUGUCUGUUUCUGUUAUAAACAAGCCUGUAUUGAUGUUGAGCCCUCCCUUCUACUUUAUUUAAGUAUUUCAUACAUUAUCUGGAAGCUAAAGUCUGUGGCUCAUAUCCUUUGUCACUUAUCUUGGUAUUUUGUCUUUAUAAAGUGUCUUCUGUGGCUCUCCAUUACAAAGGGUUAUGAAAAAGAUGUGGUUGUAAGGGUAUUCUCUUCUUUUGUCCGGACCUCUUCUUUUGGUGGUAACUUUUGUUGAAAUCCAAAAAAAAUUCAAAGAGAAAAAGAGAAGAAAAAAAAAUGUAGGAUUUCUUGUUAUGAAUUCUCUUGAAAAUAGGUGCAAUACUAUUACAAUUUAAAUAGACCUAAUAAAAGAAGAUAAAGACUAUUUUACCCUUACUUCUAAAGAUAUAGAAAAUAAUUCCAACAUUGUAACUAAAUAAACAACAAAUUAUUUUUUUGCCCUUUAGAAAAUUUUCCAUCACAUAACUCCAAAACAAAUAAUUUUAUUUUUUUGUAUCCAAUUUCCUACUAUUAGAUUAAAGGAAUCAUUUCAUUCACUAUGAUGAAUAAAAAACAAAUAACUAUCAAACAAAAAAAAAGCAUAUAUGAAUAAAAGAAAACGAAUACGAAAUCAAAUACUAUGAUCAAAUUAGAAAAGAAUUAUGUCAUUUAUCUUGGUAUUUUGUCUUUAUAAAGUGUCUUCUAUGGCUCACCAUUGCCACUUAUCAAAAGUUUAAUUAAAAGAUUAUUUUUGCUCUAAUACCAGGUUGAAAUCCAAAAAACGAUUUAAAGACAAAAAUAUUGAGAAAAAACAAAAUUUAGGAUUUCUUUUAAAAAUAACUCCAACAUCAUUAGAAUUUAAAUAAACAUAAUAAAAGAAAAUAAAAACUAUUUUAAUCUUGUAGAAAGAAAGAAAAUAAUUCUAAUAUAGUAACUAAAUAUAUAAUAACUAAAUAAUACAUAAUUCUAAUAUACUAACUAAAUAUAUCAAUAACUUCUAAUACCUUUUAAGAUUGGAUACCGUAGAUGGGCCCUUUUAAAUAAUAUUUCUUUGAUGUGAUGAUGGGUUGGAUAUUUUAGUAAAAUAUAGUGGGACUUAUUUUGGUUCUUUGAUUAUGAACUAAUAAUUGGUGAUACUCCAAAUGCAAUAUUUGAGUGUAUUAAUUUUUGCUAUGAUUAUUUUAAAUUAUGGUUACAUCGUAGAGGUCUUUUUCACAAGUAUAAUUGAUUAUAAAUAUAAUUAUAAUUUUAUUGUAAGACAUUUGAUAAAACCUAAUACAUAAUACUUAAUGAUUUAAGAUGAGUUUAAGUUAAAUUAUAUUUAAGUCAUUAAAUUAAUUGAGCAAAUGUCUUCAAAUUAUUUUUAAUUUUAAGUUAUAAUAUUUAUUAUGUGUUAGGAAUUUUAGGCUAAUCCAAUCUAUGGUAAUCACCUUAGAGGGAGAGGGGCGGGAAGGGGGUGAAUAGCGUGAUAGUCUCUUUUCACAAAUUUAAACAAGUGAAUGAAGAGACAAUUAUAUGCAAGUAUAUAAUAAGCAAUAUAAAGACAAUUGCAUAUAAAUUAAAGAGUACGGAAGAGAGAAUGCAAACACAAGUGUUUAUAGUGGUUCAGCGCAACCCAACCUACAUCCACUCUCCUCUAGCUUCAAUCCCAAGCUUGAGUUUCCUUUAAUCCAAGGCUUCCAACCCAAGCCUUCAAGCAAUACAAUUGGAUUAUGGUUCCAAUUCACCCUCUUGGACUUUUGGCUCCAAGCACCCUUUACACUUCACAAGAGAUAUCCCCCUCUUGAAAAACUUUCUCUUAAGAAUUUACAAAUAAAAGAUCACACAAAAAUCCUAGCACAAGAACUUUAAGCUCAAAUGAUACAAGAGAAACUAGGAUUGAAUGGUGCACUAAAGAUAUGCAAGUUUUGAAAUAAUGGUGCACUCAAAAAUACUAUUCCAAGGCUCAAAUAUAAUUAAGAAAGAUUUGGGAAGGUUAAUCUUUUUAAACAAUGAAGUUUGGAGCCUUUUUAUAGAAGAGAAAAACCAAACUAGUCGUUUGGGGGUUUGACCGGUCGAGCUAGGGGUCGACCGGUUGACUAGCCGUUAGCAUUAAAUGCUUGGCAGGUGACCAUUAGCCUCAACCGGACCUCGACCGGACCUCGACCGGUCCUCGACCAAGAAGAGAAGGCCACUGGGAGAGAGAGAAACUUUUUGGCCUUCCUCAACCGGUCCUCGACCAGACGAGCGCAACCGGUCCACCGGUUCCUCAACCAGUUGAACCGGUUGAGCCAUUUUUUGGCUCAACACCCAAUCUUUUUCAACUUAAAACCUUUUAAAACAAGUUUGAAAGAUAUUUAACACAAGGUUUUAGUUGAAAACAUGAAAUCAUUCAAUUCUUAAGAUAUUUAAAACAAUAUUACUUUUGGAUGAUUUUGGUGCAUAAAUAAAGAAUGAAAUGCAUGAAGUCCUAGUGCACCAACAGCCUUACAAAGAGAUCUUAUGAAGCUUGGGUCUUGAAAAACUCUUCUCUUUGAGGUGGUCUUCUUCUUCAUGAUUUCUCCUUGACUUGAUUUGUCUUUGUGAUUGCCACUUUGGAGAUCGUUUUGCCUAAUCACACUUGAAAUAUGAUCAUUAGUUCUAAACCUUGUUUUGUUAUCAUCAAAAUCAAGAUUAACCAAACCAUGGUUUCACAUUAUGAUUAAUAAUUUAUGUGAUUAGGUCGUUAAGAUAAUUUACCUAAUAAAUUUCUCUUACUUAGAUAAUCUUAUGAGAAGCAAACCUUGGCAUUCACUCUCACCUUUUACAAAGCUUUACUUCCUUGAUUUUCCAAGGGUGCUAUCGCUGAAACAUGAUGGUUUUGGAGGCUAUGUUGUUGAAUGUCCCAAAACCAUAUUGGAUUAGUUUCACCAUCACUUAGAACUCUUGGGUUGGAGCCCAUUUGACCAUAUUAUUUUAUACUUAUUGUUAUAAAAAUUAGGCUAAUACAACCUAGAGUAAUCACCCUAGAGAUGGGGUGAAUAGGGUGAUGGUAUUAUUUUGUAAAUUUAAAUUAUAUGAAUGCAAGAAACAAUUAUAUGCAAAUAUAUAAUAAAACAAUAUAAAGACAAUUGCAUAUAAAAUAAAAGAGUAGGGAAGAGAGAAUGCAAACACAAGAUUUUUAUAGUGGUUUAACGUAACCCAGCUUACAUCCACUCUCUUCUAGCUUCAAUCCCAAGCUUAAGGUUCCAUUAAUUUAAGGUUUUCAAACCAAGUCUUCAAGCAAUACAAUUGGAUUAUGGUUUCAACCACUAUCUUGGACUUUUGGCUCUAAGCACCCUUUACAAUCUCCAAGAGAUAUCUCACUCUUGAACAACCCUUCAAGUGACACUCCACACUUGAGAAUCCCUAAGUGAUACUUCACACUUAGAUUUUUAAUCUCAAAGAUUUAAAGAAGAAUCCUAGUACAAAACUUUAAGCUCAAAUGUACAAGAAAAACUGGGAUUGAAAGGUGUACUAGUGAUAUGCAAGUUUUAGAACAAUGGUGCACUAAAAAAUACUCUUCCAAUGCUCAAAUAUAUUUAAUUAAGGUUUAGGAAGUUAAAACUCUUGAAACAAUGAAGAUUGAAGCUUUUUCAUAAAAGAAAAAAACCAAAUUAGGCAUUAGGGGUUCUUUCGGUCGAGCUCCGAUUCAAUCGGUUCACUAGCCGUUAGCAUUUAAUGCAUGACAGAUGACCAUUGGACCUCGACCGUCCCUUAACCACCCAUCGAUUGGACCUUGACUGGUUGAAAAAGCAUUCUAGAAUAAAUAUAAGGUUUUUGCACCAUUCAAUCGAUUGAGCUAAACGAGUCGACUGGUUUCUCGUCUGGUUCAACUGGUUGAGUCGUUUUUUGCUCAACAACCAUCAUUUUUAACUUAAAACCUUUUUAAAAGGUUUAGAAAAUAUUUGACACAAGGUUUUAGUUGAAAACAUGAAAUCAUCCAGAGAGAAGAACUCAUGGAAAAUAUAGAAUGAAUGAAACUAAGGGAUCAAGACACAUCCAAAGAAGGAUGAACAAUGAACCCCAAAAGAAGAUAGAAAACCCCUCACAAUCUAACCCAAUUUGUUUUAAGUGUGGUAAGGUAGACCACUAAUAAGAAAGAUUGUAAGGUUAAAAAGAAAAUUAAUAACUUAAACAUUUCAAAAGACUUAAAAGACAUGCUUUGCAAAGUAAUAUUAAACUCCUCAGAAUUUGAAUCAAGGACUGGUUCAAAUAAUGCAAGGAAAGGGAAGACCGUCCGCCCACACAUAUGCUUCCACAGCUUCACAAACAUAGCCCUAGCUGCUGCAUUAUUGGUCUUAGGAACCAGCCGCCAGACCAGCCCAACAAAUCAUAUUGGGUUGUAGCCAUCUUUUCUGUCAGUUUUUUCUUCUUUUCUAGGGUUGCAGAUGCAUCAAGAUAUAUAUCUUUUGUUUUAUAUGAUGAGGAAGUCAUCAUCACCUUUUUCGUUCGUCUUUCACAUACAAACUCUUAUGUAGCUUGAAUCUCGUCUUUUACAUCAUCAGCCGUAUUUGUCUGUUUCUGUUAUAAACAAGCCUGUACUGAUGUUGCUGAGCCCUCCCUUCUACUUUAUUUAUGUACUUCAUACAUUAUCUGGAAGCUAAAGUCUGCGGCUCAUUUCCUUUGUCACUUAUCUUGGUAUUUUGUCUUUAUAAAGUGUCUUCUCCCGAGAAAUCGGCGAUAUAUCGGCGAUUUUUCCCGCUUUCGAGGGGAUUUGAACCCCAAACCAAAAGAAUAUAUUGUGCACUAAACUUAUAUAUACUUAAACUCAUUAUAUAAAGAAAAUAUUAAAAGAAUAUUUUAAAGAGCAAAUUAAUUAUAAUUAUUUUAUAAUUAAAUACAAAAUUUUCUUUUAAUUGAUUACCAAAAAUAUAAAAAUUAUAUAAUUUUCUUCAUAAUGUUUUUAAUAUCAUUAAUAAUUAAUUAAAUAUUAAAAAAAAUUUAUAUAUAUAUAUAUAUAUAUAUCAUAAUUUAUUUUAUAUUGUUUAAUACAAUUAAAUUAAAUGGAUCAUAAUUUUAAUAUUAAUAUAUAUUUUAAAAUUAGACAUAUUAUAAUCAAAUAUCAUAAUAGUAGAUGUAAUUUAAUAAUAAAUGUACACUUAUAAAAUUCAUAUUUUUAUCGAUGCAUACGAUAUUAUUAUCAAAUAUGAUAAAUCAUGUUAUACAUAUAUCAAAAUUUUUCAAUAAAAUAACUUUAAAAUGUCUAUUAUACUUCUAAUUAUAUUAUUAUGAGGUUUUCCUUACAUUUUUAUGAGUUUUUAAUAAUUUUAAGUCUACCGAUAUUUUUUUCCAAAAUAUCCGCCGAUAUAUCUCCAAUAUAUCCGAUAUAUACGUAAAAUCGAAGUACCGAUAUUUUCAUCCUUGGUUACAUCUUAGAGGUUUUUUUUCAUAAGUAUAAUUGAUUAUAAAUAUAAUUAUAAUAUUAUUAUAAGACAUUUGAUAAAACUUAAUACAUAAUACUUAAUGAUUUAAGAUGCGUUUAAGUUAAAUUAUAUUUAAGUCAUUAAAUUAAUUGAACAAAUAUCUUCAAAUUAUUUUUAAUUUUAAGUUAUAAUAUUGAUUAUGAUUAAUAAUUUAUGUGAUUAGGUCGUUAAGAUAAUUUUUCUAAUAAAUUUCUUUCACUUAGAUAAUUUUAUGAGGAGCAAACCCUGGCAUUCACUCUCACCCUUUUACAAAGCUUUACUUCCUUGAUUUUCUAAGGGUGCUAUUGCUCAAACAUGAUGGUUUUGGAAGCUAUGUUGUUGAAUGUCCCAAAACCGUAUUGGAUUAGUUUCACCAUCACUUAGAACCCUUGGGUUAGAGCCCAUUUGACCAUAUUAUUCUACACUUAUUUUUAGAAAUUGUUUUGAAGUUAAAAAAAAAAAAGUUACAGUUUUUAUUUUCUAAAAACAAUGGUGUUUAGCAACUUUGUUUUUAAAAACACUUUUUAAAAAAUUUUAAAAAAAAAUUGGAUAAUUUUUUUUAAUAUUUCGAUUUUAUAAAAAAAAUCAUAGACUUAAUGUAUAUAAUAUUAAUUAAAUUUAAUUCAAGCCUUGUGUAGACCCCUUUUAUUGGAGGGACCCGGGGGGGAGAGUUUUUUUUUUUUUUUUCUCUCUCUCUUUUGGGCAUUUCUUUUUUUUAACAAAAGGGGGGGACCAACUGCAGGAGAGGAGGAGGAGCAGGGAUGGCCAUAAUUUGAGGGGUCAUGCCUGCUAAUGAGGACACAGGAGAGUGGGUGAGAGAGACAGGAGGGUCUUGAGGUUAGGAGGGAAGCUGGUUGGAGGUAGCCUGAAGGUAUGACUGCUAUGAAUGCUUGGGUUUUUCUUCAUUGGAGCAUAAUCUCUCUCUGUUUUUCUAGAUUUUUUUUUUAUGUGGAUCGUUUGGCUCUGUGUUUAGUUUUAUGGUUUAUGCUUGGUUGCUAUCUCCUUCAUUUUUCCAUGGGAUGCAUGUUUGAUUUAACUCACCCUCAUCUAAACCCAUUGAUUCAAACAUGUAAUAUGGCUUGGAUGGGUUCGUUUUAUCCUUUCCCAUUGUGCUCUAUUUGCUAUUUUCCCAUGUUCUCAAUGCCCUGCCAUGGUGAAUACCAUAGUUCUCCAUUUUGUCGGAGAUUUUAUACCGGAGAGCACCCACAAUCGCGGCCUCAGGUGCAGCCAGUGUUGGUGCUGGCGGGGGCAGGCGCUGGCUAGUGCUGACAGGCGCUAGUUGGUGCUGGUUGGUGCUGGUUAGUGUUGGCUGGUGCUGGCUGGCACUAGCUGGUGCAGGCGCUAGCGCGGCAUCCAGUGACGAUGCCGAUGCCACCCCAGGCAACUCAUUCCACACCGGCAACCUUUCUCCUUCUUCCACCUUGGGCUCGCCCAUUGAUGAUGGGUGUGGGACUGAGUUAGAGCCCAGGCCCGUUUGUGAGGGUGAGGAGCCUCAUGCCAGCCAUCUUCCUAGCCUAAGUCCACCUUAAGUUGGUGCCUUGGGCUUGCCCAUAUUGGUGACAGGUUUGGGCUUAAGUUGGAGCCCAGGCCCACAGUUGCUGAUGAAAGGCCCUUUUGCUCCCUAUGCUAUCCAUCUCCAUGGCCCAAGUCCAUGUUGGAUUAGCCCAUUUGGCCACAUUAUGUCUAAACAAGUUUUUGAAUCCCUAACCUUAGUAAAUUAUUAACUUAUUCAUGCUUUUUUUUAUUAUUAUUAUUUAUUCUUAUUUUAUCUUCACCAAUUUAGUUAGCUCAACUUAAAGACAAUUAAAAGAUAAAUUAUUAUUGUUAAUUAUAUUUUUAUCUUGAAAUUUACACGAUUCAAUUUCACUAGUUUAAACAUUAUGAUUGUCAACUAUUAUUAUUAUUUCGUACGUAUCUAUUCAUCAUCUUUCAAAAUCUCAAUCAUCAAAGUUAAAUUCUAAUCCUUCAAAAACCCCAUAUCUUAAUCUAAUAUUUCAAUAAUCCGUUUAAAUCUCGUUUUCAUCAAUUAAGAAUUAUUAUCAUAUAUUUAUCUAGUUAUUUGAAGUUUUACCCUUUCAAAAAUCCCAUAUCUUAAUUCAAUUUUUCAAUAGUUCGUUCAAACCUUAUUCGUCUAAAUGUUAUCUUCCUUAAGUAGAAUUAUUAUCAUAUAUCUAUUUAUUUAUUUAAAGUCUAAUUCCUCAAAAACCCAGCGUCCUAAUUUAAUUCUCGACCCUAAAAAUUCCACUAUUCUUUUUUAUUCGUCUAAAUGUCAUUUUCGUUAAUUAAGAAUUAUUGUCUCAUAUUUAUUUAUUCAAAGUCUAAUCCUUCAAAAAUCCAAUGUCAUAAUUUAAUUUUCAAUCCUAAAAAUUCCACUAUUCGUCUAAGUGUUAUUUUCGUCAAUUAGAAACUCGAUACUUGUUUACCUCUUUUAAAAAUCUCAAUCAUUGAACUUAAUUCUUGACCCUAAAAAUUCCACCAUCCUUUUUUUUAUUCGUUUAAAUGUUGUUUUCAUUAAUUAGUAUUAUUACCCCAUAUUAGUUUAUUUAUUUAAAAUCUAAUUCUUCAAAAACCUCAUGUCUUAAUUUAAUUUUUCAAUCCUAAAAAAUUCUACGAUUCGUUAAAAUGUUAUCCUCAUCAAUUAGCAUCAUUAUCCCAUAUCUAUUUAAAGUCCAAUCUUUCGAAAACCUCAUGUCCUAAUUUAACUUUCAAUCCUAGAAAUUUCGUUAUCCGCCUAAAUGUUAUUUUCAGUAGUUAGAAUUAUUAUCAUAUAUCUAUUUAUUUAUUUAAAGUCUAACUCUUCAAAAAUUCAACGUCUUAAUUUAAUUUUUAAUCCUAAAAAUUCCACUACUCAUUUUCUAUUCGUUUAAAAUAUUGUUUUCAUUAAGUAGCAUUAUUAUACCAUAUUAUCUAUUUAAUCUAACCGUUAAAAUUCAAUUCAUCAGAACCCGACUUCCAAAUCUAAUUUCCAACCUCAAAAGCUCCACCGCCCACAUAUCGUCGUUUAAUGAUUAUUUUCGUUAUCAAUGUUAUCCCAUCCACUCGCUUAUUCAGUUAUUCAUAUACCAAAGAUCUCAUCUGUAAAUAAAUUCUUAAGUUUUCAAUCUCUAAAUUCACAUCUUCAAAUCUCUAAAAUUCCAUCUUUCGCAAUUAUUUACCUAAACUCUAUUGUUUCACCAUCGCUAUUUCAUUCCUUUACUUAUUCACUCAUCCACUUAUCCCCUCAUUUAAAAUCCCGAACUUUCAAAUCAUUUUCAAGUUUCCAACCUCGUUCAAAUUUAAUUUCUAAAAAUUCUCAUUCUCACAUUUAAUUCCUGAAAGUCCAAUCUUCAAGUAAACUCUAAAAUCCCAAUUUUCUUUAAAUAACCCUCGGGACUCCAAUAUUUCAAAUGAACUUCAAAAAUCCAAUUUUCUCUCAAAUAGCUUUAAUUCCAUUCUGGCCUUCAAACAAUCUUCUGCUCCUCUUGAUUUUAAUAAGCCUGAAUGAAUUUUCCGUAAUUCCGAAUAAUGGAAUUUAUGGGAUUAAUUCAUGCAAUAUAAAUCGGGCUUUGGUGGGGGCCCAACAUAUGUGAUUUCCUUAUGAUUGAUUGAUUGUUUGCUUGAUUUAAUUAUCAUGCAUGAUUAAUUUUAUUCUACUCUAUGACAUGCUCGAAAUUAUUCCUUAAUUGUGCACUAACCUCACUUCUUGAUAGCGCUUUAUGGAUCACUACCCAGGUACGCAUCCACAUCCGCUCGGGUCAUUUUCUGUAUGCAUGUUUAGAUUCUCACAUGUGCAUGAUCACUCUGAGUAUUCAUUGAUUCCCUCAUCAAUUGUCAUGAUUGCUUCAUUUUAUUAGUAGAGACUCAACUUUAGGGACUUAGAAGGGUGCUACGGUCCUUACCGUACAUUCUUGAUAAGUAACCUGUCCCCCGAACCCGAUCCGGUUUUUCGUAGACCACUUUUUCCAAAUAAGGAGUCACACUUAGGGUUUUUUCUUUCUUAUUUUGUUUACUCUUUUAAAAAUAAAACAAAAAUAAGUGGCGACUCCAAGUCAUCUUUCUAGAAAACACCAUAAAAUCAAAUUUUCAAAUAAAAAAUGCGUUUCACCAUCGAGUGGGAAACGCAUGAGCCGAAAUGCGAGGUCCACACCUUGUUAAAAAUAAAAAUAAUUUUGUAAGAAAUAAAUAUAAGUUAUAGUUUAGAUUAUUUGUUAAAUAUGGGUCACUAUUUGGAUUUCAAAUUAUUUUUAAAGUUACUAAACUUAUUAAUAAAUUAAAUGGAAUAAGUCUUGCUUGAUGUGAAGUCUAUUUGUUUGGUAAAAAAAAAAAAAGGAAAUAUGAUUUCAUGCAAAAAAGAAAAAUAAGUUAUUAUGAAUUAAUUUUUGUCCAUAUAAUUCUUGUAUUAAUUGAAUCAUUAUUUGAGUUCUAAACUAUUUUUAAAAAAUUGUUGGACUGGUUGAUAAAUCCAAUACAUCAAGUUUUACUUGAUUUGAAGUUUAUUUGUCUACUAAACAGAUUUGAAAAAAUAUAAUUAUAUGUAACAAAAAAAACAUUGGAAAGUUAUUCAAAAUUGGAUUAGCUUUUAGUUCCAAGAUUUUCUAAUAUUAUUGGUUUUUUAGUCUUGAAUUGUUUUUAAAAAUUAGAAAACACAAAAAUGUUUUAAAAUUACAUGGUCAAAUAAACUAUUAGACCCUAUUUGACUUUCUGAUUUAAAAAUAGGUAACUAUUUUUAAAAAUUCAUAGCACUUUUUUUUAUGCGAACCUCAAUCAACACGAUUUGAGACCCAACAAAUAGUAUUGGAAUAAUGCCCAAGAAAGCUAAAAUACAAAUUUUUGAUAGAACCCUGACCCAAUGCUUAUAAGUGAAACGCAAACCAAAAGUAUAAGUAACAGACCUUGACCCAAUGAUUACAAUGGAAUCACGAACCAAAGGUAUAAGGUUUGAACGCCACAAGGAAGAAUCUCUGAUAAGUUCACAGUUUUGAAGAACCAAAAGAAGAGCAAAGCCUCACCUUUUCUGAUUUUUUAUUCAAUUAAAAUUAUCCCCCAUUACAAUGAGUGCAUGCUAUUUAUAUGUCAUGAAAAAAACUUAUUAAAUAUUAAAACCCUAAACUAAAAAAGGUACUAAAUAUUAAAACCCUAAAUAAAGGUUGAUUUGGUCAGAAAUUAGCAGAUCCAAAAUAGGAAAAUAGCUAAAAAAACGUUCUAAAUAAUAAAAGCUUAAAAUUAAGGUAGAUUUGGCCUGAAUUUAGAAGCUCUAGAAUAGGAAAUAAUUGAUAUGAAGUUGGAAAGUCAACCAGUCAUUAAUCCAUGCCAUAAAUCAUGCCCAAUCAAGCCAAAUUAGCCCUCAAUAGCUUGGAUUAAAUUUAUUACACAUUCAUCUUCCUUUAGGCCAAACUUGGACUAUCUUGCGUUAGAAUCAAUCCAAAUCUCUUGAAGUAUCCCAUUAAGUUCUUUUUUGAUCUUCUUAGAUCUUGCUUUAGUAAUAAGCCCAAUUGGAACAUGCAAUGGAUCCUUGAAUGCUUGUUGAUUCUCAUCAUUUUUUGUCAUAGUUUUUAUUUCUAAUUUUUAGAAACAAAAGAAAAUAGAGAAUAUUUUUUAAAAGAGAAGUAGAAGUUGUUUUUACUAGUUUAUAAAAACAAAGUAAAAACAUAAAGAAAUUUAAAGAAAAAAAAAUCAUAAAAAGACAAAUAAAAUCGUAUAUGAUAUAUUUCUUUCUCUCUCUAUAGAAAUUGAAAAUCUUCAAAUAUGAUAUUCCUUUGAAUUAUUUAUAUAAAAUUGUAUAUGAUACUUUUCCCAACCACUCCACCCACUCUCUCUCCUUUUUGCCCAUACCACUCACCUAGGAGACUCAUACCCCUUUUCCUUAGGAAUGGCAAUUUUUUGGGUAAUUCGGGUCACCCGCCCCGCCCCGCUCCUACUGGGACGGGUAUGAGAAUAUCCUAUUUGGACAUAGAACAGGUUUGGGGAAUAUAUAAAAACCCGAAUCAGGUUUAGGGCGGGGAUGGGUUUUGCAGUUUCCGCCCCGUCCUGUAUGUGAAUUACCAAUUUACCCUUAUGUCAUUACAAAAUACCCAAAAAGUCUUUCAUAUAUAAUCAUUUCUUCCUCAAGUUUUAGGGUUAUUUCACUCGUGAGAGAGUCAAAGGGCUUUCGCUCUUAGAGGGCUUUCGUUCUCAUUUCUUCCCGUUUUCUCAUUCUUCCUAAAUUGCUCAGGGUUCUUUUGCUUGUAAGAGGCCUUUCGUUUUCUCAUUUCUUCCCAUUUUCUCAUUUAUUCCUGAAUUGUUUCUUCCCGUUUCACCCUAAAAGCACAAUUUUUGCUCUAAAAACCAAACUACCAAAUUCGUAGACAACAAAUUAUUAGGGUUUCUAUGGAUUCCUCAUUUCCAAGUAAGAAAACCCUAAGUUUUGAGGUUUUGUUAGAAAUGUCUUGUUUUUCAUAUUUUCUGGUUUUGGUUGAUGGAUUUGAGAUUUUUUGGGUUGUUUAUUUGUAGAUCUAUGCAUUUUGUUCUUGUAUGUGCAGUUUGCAAUUUUGUUGCACAACAAAUGCUUGAUUAAAUGUGUUUAUGAUAACCCAGAUAACGUUUAUUGAAAUUUCAGAGACCCAUGUUCUGUAAAAGCAUAAUUCCCGAAAAUGCAUUUGGGACAGGGAUGAGAUUAUCAGCUCUUUUGUAAACGGGCAUAGGGAACACCAACUCGCCCCGCCCCGGGUUUGGGACGGGGAUGGGAAAAAACAUAUAUAACCGGGAUGGAAAUGAGGUAAGGGUGGCCCGUCCCAUACUCGCCAUGUUGCUAUCCCUACUUCUCCUCUUUUUUUUUUUUUUUUCUUUUCUUUUCCCAUUUUUUUUUUUUUUUUUUGUUGUUGCUCUUCUUCUUCUUCUUCUUCCACAUUGUCCCAUAGCCUUCUCUCCCUCCCUUUUUCUCCCAUUCUUUUUGCUCACAUUUCUACUCUUCUUUUUUUUUUCCAAAAAAAUCUAUCACUCCUCACCACCGCCAAUAAGACCACCAACCAAUCACCGUCAGUGAACCAUUGCCGACAACCCCCUUCUCUUCUCUCACUUUCUCAUCUCACUCAUUUUCCGUUUUUAUUAUUCAUUUUAUUUUAUUUUCCUUUUUCCUUUUUUUUCUUCUUUCUUUCUUUCUCCCUUUAACUCCAUUGUCGGCCACUUGCCGCCAGCUAACAAUUCCGACAACCCAUAGAUUCUUCAAAAAAAAAAAAUGUGUAAGCCCAUUUAUGUAUUUCUUUAUUUUAUUUUUCUUAUUAUUAUCAUUUUUUUUUUUGUUUGUGAGAUUUGAAUUGUUGAAUUAAUAUGAAAUUUGGGCUUUGUUAAUUAAUAUAGAAUUUAGGUUGUGGAUAUAUUCCAUUUUUUGGUUAAUUUGAGGUAUUUGGAUUAGGCCAAUUCCAUAUUGUUUACCUUAUUUGGACUUACGGCUCAUUGUUUAUUGAUUAUUUAUUUGGCUUAUUGGAUUGGGAUUGAGACCUUAUUUCCUUUGGCCUUGCAUAUUAUUAAUGUGGGCUUGUUAAAUAAUAUGAAACUUGAGCUCAUUUGUUGUGGAUAAAAUUUGUUGGAUUGGAUGAUAAUUGAUAUGAGUUUUAUCCAUUUGAAAUAUGUAAUUGGGGCAUGAGACAAUUGUGGUAUAUUUUGGAUGUUAUUUCGAGUUUACAUAUUAAAUUGGGCUCAAUUAUUUUGGAUUAUGGGAUAUUGAAUUUAGGCCUAAUUGAAUUUGUUUUAAUUAUCAAAUUUUUGGGUUUGGUUGAUUGUGUUUGUAUUUUGGUUAUUAAUUUGAAAUUUUUUUGUUAAGACCUAUAACAUGUGAGAUAUUUCUAUUGAGUUAUAUUUGCUAAUUUAGACUCAUUUUGAUAGACGAAAUUUAUUAGACUAAUUUGAAUUUUGAAUUUGGGUUUGAAUAUUUGUUUGGGAUUUUGUACAUUUUUUUUAUAUUUAUGACAUGUGGAGUAUGAAAUUUUAUGAAAGAAAGUGAGACUCAAAAAGUUGUAUGAAGACAUUGAACUUGUUGUAAGCUUGUUGGGGUAUCCAUUUUAUUUCCCGCUUUUAUUUGGUUUAUUUUUAUUAAUUUUUAUAAAUAUUUGUUUGUGUAUAAUUACUCAUUGUGUACAUAAUUUAAUAUCAAACAAAUCAUAAAUUUUGUUUAAAUAAGAGGAACAAUUCAGUAAACAUGUUUUAAUAAAAUAAUAGUUCAUAAAAUAUUCUUUUUAAUAAAAAUAAGUUUUCAAAAUGUUUUUAGGAAAAUCUAGAAAAUUGUUUUUAAUAAUAAUUGUUUGACAAAAAAUGGUUUUUUAAAUAAAUUCUAUUUUCUUAAUUAGAUAUGAUUAAAAGUAAUUUUUUAUAGAUAAGGGUCUUAAAUAAUUUUUUUAAUAAGAAUGAAAUUUGCAAAUCGAAGUUGUAGAAAUCAUUUUUUAAUAAAAUUGGGUUGAAAAUAUUUUCAUAAACAAAGUUUGUAAAGAAAUUAAUUCAUUUUGUAAAUAAAGAUGUAAAAAUUCAUUCAUUUUUUAAUAAAAACAAAAAAAAAAAUAUUUUUUUUUGUCAAAUUGAAAUUUUGUAAUAAAUUGUUUUGAUAAGAUAAAUGUAUACAACUUUCUUGAAAAGAAAAAUUGAAAACAAAUAAAGAUGAAUAAAAUCAUUUAUUGAAAAUAAAUGGAAAUUUUUUUUUUUUUUGUAAAUAAUUAAAUUGAAAUCAUCAAUUCAAAAUUGUUUUAAUAAAAUCCUUUGAAAUUAAAAAAAAAAAAUCAUUUUUUAAAAUAUAUUUUUUAAUCCAUUCAAUCAAUCAAUUUGCAUAAUUCUUUUGUCAUUUAUUUUGUGUAUUCUUGUAAUUAGAUUUCAUCAUUAUUUUUUUAUAUAUUGAUUUUCACUAUGACUUGUAAAUACUCAUUUAUGUUAUUAUUUUUUUUUUUUGUAUUCAUAAUUAAUUAAUUAAUUUUCACAAUUCCCUUGAUUCGUUUAGUAGAGACCAUAUGUAUACGGGCUUAGAAGAGUGUUACAGCUCACCACCGUACCUUUCCAAUAGGUAACCUAACCCACGGAUCUAGACUCGGUUUUUCAUAAACCUGUUUUUCCUUCAGGAGUCACACUUAGAGUUUUUCUUUUUUAUUUUGUUUUUCCCUUUAAAAAUAAAAUAAAAAUAAGUGGCGAGUCCAAGUCUUUUUUUAAAAUCAUAUUUUCACCAAAUGAAAAGCAAAUCUCGUUGUUGAGUGAGGAUGCACAUGAAAAAUGUGGGUCCAUAGUGUUAUAUUCAUCAACAAGUAUGAUAAUUUAAAAAAUAAAUCAAUUUGAAAAUCAAAUGGUAACCAAUUAAUACAAAAUAUUUAUAGAUAAAAAUUGUUUCACAAAUACUCUAUUAUUUCCUUUUUUUUUACACAUAAUUAUUAUGAAAUUAAGGUCUGGUUAAUCUCGAUUUUGAUGAUAACAAAAUAAGGUUUAGAACUAAUGAUUAUAUUUCAAGUGUGAUUAGGCAAGACGAUUUCCAAAGUGGCAAUCACAAAGACAAAUCAAGCCAAGAAGAAAUCAUAAAGAAGAAAACCACCUCAAAGAGAAGUGUUUUUCAAGACCCAAGCUUCAUAAGAUCUCUUUGUAAGGUUGUUGGUGCACUAGGAUUUUCAUGCUUUACAUUUUUUACUUAUGCACCAAAAUCAUCCCAGAAUUAUUUUGUUUUAAAUAUUUUAAAAUUUGAUGAUUUCAUGUUUUCAACUAAAACCUUGUGUCAAAUGUUUUUCAAACUUGUUUAAAAGGUUUUAAAUUGAAAAAGUUGGUUGUUGAGCCAAAAAUGACUCAAUCGGUUGAACCAAAUGAGGAACCAAUCGACCCCUAGCUCAACCGAUCUAGGAGCAGGUCGACCCCCAGUUCAACCUGUCAAUGGUGUAAACAGUAACCGAUUAACCCCUAACUCAACCGGUCGAGGGGUGCAAAAAACCUUAUCUCUCUUCUAGAAUGGUUGUUCAACUUGAUGAGGAACUGGUCGAGGUCCAACGGUCACCUGCCAAGCAUUAAAUGCUAAUGGUUAGUCAACCGAUCGACCCCCAACUUGACUAAUCAAACCUCCAACGGCUAGUUUGGCUUUUUUCCUCUAUAAAAAGGCUCCAAAUCUUCAUUGUUUAUGAGCUCAACCUUCCCAAACCUUUCUUGAAUAUAUUUGAGCCUUGGAAGAGUGUUUUGAGUGCACCAUUGUUCUAAAACUUGCAUAUCAUUAGUGCAUCAUUCAAUUCUAGUUUUCUUGUAUCAUUUGAGCUUAAAUUUUUGUACUAGGAUAUUGUGAGAUCAAUUAUUUAUAUAACUUUGAGAGGAAGAUUCUCAAGUGUGGGGUAUCACUUAGGAGGUUGUUCAAGAGUGGGGUAUCCCUUGAGAAUUGUAAAGGGUGCUUGGAGUCAAAAGUCCAAAAAAGUGGAUUGGAACCAUAAUCCAAUUGUAUUGCUUGAAGGCUUGGUUUGGAAGCCUUGAAUUAGUGGAACCUCAAGCUUGGGAUUGAAGCUAGAAGAGAGUGAAUGUAGGUCGGGUUGCGCCGAACCACUAUAAAAUCUUGUGUUUGCAUUCUCUCUUCCCUAAUCUUUUACUUUAUAUGCAAUUGUCUUUAUAUUAUUCUGUUUAUAUACUUGCAUAUAAUUGUCUCUUGCAUUCACAUAGCUUAAUUUUGCAAAAAAAGAUCAUCCCCCUAUUCACCGCCCCUCUUUCGGGUGAUUACCAUAGGUUGGAUUAACCCAAUUUUUCUAACAAUUAUAAUAUUACUAUUUACAUUUUUACUAAAAACUAUUUAUUUGUAAAUUAUAAAUUUUUUUUCAUUUUUAAUUACACAUCAAUUAAAUUCAAUUAAUAUAAUUAAUAUUAUGCAAAUUGAAUUUAUAAUACAAAAAUCAAAAUAAAAAAUUAUUUUUAAAAAACAAUCUGCGAAAUAUCCGUAUUUUUGUAAAAUACUUAAAAAGAAUAAAAAAAGAGAAACUCUAUUUUCUUUUUAUAAACUUAAAAACAGUUUUUUUUUUAAAACAAACAUUACAAAACAUGGUCACUCGGGUCUUGAGGCCUCUAUCAACAUGUUUUGUUUGUUUUGUUUCCUUUAUUGCCCAAUUUUUGUGUAAGCUCUAAAUAAUGCCUCUUUCAAUCCUUUCCAAUUCCUCUGUUCGUGCACACUUUUUUUUUUUUUUAUGUUGCCAUGUAGGCAACAGUAUAGUUCUUGAUCCCCCAAUCAGAGAAAACUAAAAAAUUAUACAUAAUUCUUUGCUCCACUACUAAUGCAUUACAUCAAUAUCUGUCAUUAAUUAACUCUUACCACACAAAUUUUAUGCAGCAAUUGCCAUGAUUUUUGUACACUAAGAUCACAUACCAACCCCUGCACAUGCAUACACAUUGCUUUUAUUGAGAGAAUGGUUUCACACAUUUGAAUGUGGCAACAUUGGGAAGCAUCUUCAUUGUUUCAUUGCUUCAAUAAAGGUUUUGAAAUUUCUGUAAGAAGAUCCGCCUUCGCUUACACUCUUUCUAGCCAUUUCCUUCAACUUCUCUGCAUUUGCUUUUAUACCAUCAUCAGAGACCAACUUUUCAAUCUUCAUCUUAAUCUCAUGCCUCGAUAUGAAUCCAUUUUUAUCUGGGUUCAACCCCAAGCCCACCUUCCAUUUCUCGCAUAUGUAACUCUGGUUAUGGAAUUGAUCUCCUAAGUAGGGCCAGCAUAGGAAGGGGACUCCCAUGCCUAUGCCGCCCAUGGUUGAGUUCCAUCCACAAUGGGAAAAGAAACAUGCAACAGAAGGGUGAGCUAAAACCUCUUCUUGGGGUGCCCAUGAAACAAUCUUUCCAUGGUCAGCUACUCUCUCUAUGAAACCAUCUGGGUAUUCAGCAGCUGAUUCAUCGGUGAAGUCUGAUCGGACAACCCAUAAAAAUGGCCGCCCUACAAGUUCAAUGCCAAGUGCUAAUUCAUUGAAUUGGUGCUGGGUUAAGAUUGUAAAGCUGCCAAAGGCAACAUAAAUGACUGAGCCAGCAGGUUGUUUAUCGAGCCAGCCUAUGCAAGUUGAAUCCUCAGGCCAAAAGUUUGCAGCAUAAUGACCCGGAUCACUACUUGCAAGUAACGGGCCAAUUGGUAAUAAGUUAGGAAUCAAGUCACAAGCAGAUGAGUCAAGUUCGUAAACACAGUUGCAAAGAAGCCACUUGGAAGAAUCCAUAAUUUGAAUAGAUGUGAGAUAAAGUCGGAAAACCGACUCUUGUAUCUUUAGAUCAAUUGGCCACUGCCAGGGCAAGCUGUUGCUGCUCAAGACUGGAAUACCCUUCGACACGCAGAUCAACUCAUCAUUCAGAGGAGAUCCUGCAGAGAUAUUUGAAUCGUUUCUAUCAAAACCAAGAAAUUUCUUAGACAACAAAUUAAUUUUAGAAAUAUGAUAUAAAUUAACAAGUUGAAGCCUUAAUACCAUCAGUACUAUUUACGAUUCCGGCCUCAAUUAGUUUUGGAAUAUGAAGUGCCAAAGCCCAGAUUCCUGCUCCCAUAGGACAAAAAGGGACCCCUUCGAUUCCCAUCUUCUCUGCCACCUCCAUUGGCCACCGCUCAAGUGUUAUGUCAGCAAUAACACAAGUGAUCUGCUCAUCAUCAUUCGAGUGGUUUACUUUCUCAAUUAAAUCCUUCAAAUGACCCGGCAUGACUCUUGAAAUACUUUCUGUUAACUUGAGCAUGUUUUUCCGAUCGUCCCCUGGAUCCAGACCAUCUGGGAUAGAGGCUAGCCCUAUCCCACUCCGAGCCUCAGCUUCAUGUGGGAGUGCAGCCAGCAGUUUAGCAUGUAUGAAGUCAGAGUUCACAAAGGUGACCUUGAUCCCAUGAUCAGAAAUCCGGUGUGCAAGCUUCAUAAGAGGAGCAACAUGUCCUUGCGCUGGGAGCGGUAUAAUCAGCACAUGAGGUCGCCUGCCCAUGGUCCUUGCUAACUUGCCAACACUUCCACCCUUCUCUUUGUUCUGAUCCCAAGCUUCACUAGUACUGAUACUGUUUUAUUAGCCUGAGCCCUCCAUGGAACUGUAUUUAUGAAUUUUAUACCUAUUGCCCUCCUA
rnacentral:lncRNA from 1 species